rnacentral:lncRNA from 1 species
CACCUGCAACUAGCAACGCUAACAUUACAAGCUGAGCAAGCGUACUUAGCCAUUCAGUAUUAGCUAGGAGGGGAAAGUGUUUGGGUUUCAUGGCAAUAUCAGGAGGCAAAUAUAUCUGGUGGUAGGCAGCGAGCAUAUGAUGAAGGAAACGUGAUUCUAGGCAUAACAAAGCUAGAGACAGUAUCAAGGUCAUGGUCAUCUUGCAUGUGAUGUCCUCAGCUUGGAACUGCUCUUGUUCGUCCUGCACGUACUCUCCCGAAUCCACGUACUCGCUCUCCGAUCCCGGUGCUACCCAAGAUAAAAAUGACAGCCAAUGAACAACAACACAACAUGAUGCAACAAACACAUGAUGCAUGAGAUGAGAACGAAGCUUGCAUCUCUAAUCUAGUCACUUGCAUAUGCAUGACAAGAAAAGACAACUUCUGGACAGAACUUCACUCUAAUCUAUCUUGACAUGCAUGAAGAUGAUAUGAACAGGUGCAUCACGAGAAAACGAUGCAAAAACAUAUAAAGAACGUUGAUAACGGAGCUACGGAUCAACCGGAAACUACGAAACAACAAUAUGGAGUCCUACGGAUCAAAUCUACCACAAGCACUCUCCAAGGGCAUACUUCUGGUAUUCCUAGGUUGCCACAUGACCAAACAAACAAGUAUAGGUGGGGUGGUGCAAAGAAACUCACCACACCACCAACUAUGAACUCACAAGCUUCAAAACAACAAAACUAUGCAAUCUGUCAUAAACAGCAUCAUAGCAGUUUGAGAGCAACAUGCAAAGCACCUACAGCCACCCAAAUGUGCCAAACAAGAUAUGUGGCAAAAGCUAUUCAAAAGCUCUACAGGCCUGACCAAGAAGAUAAUACAAAGGAGUUUCACACAGAAAGAUCUACAGGUGCUAACUUGGACAAAAUAACAGAUUCCAUGCACUUAGUGAAAAUCUCAGAUUCUCACGAGUUGUUUAUGCUCUGAAGCAUUUUGACGGCCCCCAAAACAAUAGCUACAGGAAGUGAAAGUGGAUGAAAAUUGACAGAGAGCUAGACAAACACAAAAGCUCCAACUCUCUAGUUGAUUGCAAGGGCUGAUUCCCAACACAUGAACUUUUGCAACCACAACUACAAGGGAAGAAAAUAACAGUAGUUUCUCAGACUUAGUGAAAAUCACAGAUUUUCACUAAACUGACAAUUUCAGCCACAUGCCUACUUUGUCAAGGCACAACUUGCACAUACAAACUCCUAAGCAUAAAACAAAACCACCAUGCUGUAGAGGGGUUCACCCACUACUUCCACAUCAAGGAAUCAUCCUCAUAGGCUCAUCACAUCACAUGGCACCAAGCUCUAAACAUAGAUCAAAACAGAAAAAAUGACUUCUCCAGAAUGUGUUCCAAAGUGAAAUCUAAUUCCAUCAAUUGAUUCCUAGGAAGAUUCUACCCCAAAAACAUAUAUAAUACCUAGGUACUUGUAUAGAACAAAUAGGCACAAAGCUAAGAUGAAAAACUACAUGGAAUCACAUAGAUGCAAAUAGUGGCAUAUCACAUGUGUUACUCACUAGAUCAUCACCUACACAUGCACUUGCACACACUCACAUCUCCAUUGGUGUACAUGAGGGGUAGUCCUCAUGUUCAUGUGCCUUAGCACACCACCACACUCACACAUACAUCAAGCAUACACAAGUGCUCAUGCACACACACCUCAUGCUAGUGUCCAAACACACACAUACUUACACUCACACCACUUUCACUAACACACACACAUACAUGCUUGUACCAAGUGCUCACUAAGGCAAAACCAUGCCUUGGGCUGGUGGGUGUCACACACACACUUGCACCACUUGGAUACAUACACACUCACACAACACAUGGGUGCUUGCACACUCACAAGUACACACCUCAUGCACAUGCACUAGUGCACAUAUGCACAAGCACACACAUACACAUACACACACACACUUAGAUCACUAAUCCCUACACAUGCACACUAACUAAGCAAGGGGAAAAACCACUAGUUAGAUAUAUUAGGCAACAGAAUAGUGCUGCCCAAGCAAGCUACAACAAAAAUACUAUGAACAGCAAAGAAGAAAACACAAAAAUAGAAGGGGAGGCUUGAGGGGUCGAACACAAGACCUGCUGCACCCCACACACAAGUGCAACCACUGGGCUAUCAACUCUGGCUCGACAGAACAGAGGAAGUAAACAAGGUAAGUCUUCCCCCCUGUUCUACUGUGCCACAAAACAAAUCAAAAGGGGUGCGAUGCGGGCUCGAACCCGAGACCUGCCACAUCACAACGUGCGCACAAACCACUACGCCACUGCUACGGAGUCUACCACAGAGGGAAGAUUGUCCCUUUUGGGCAGAUCCCUCGCCCUACUACAUAGACACGCGCACGCAUUGCCGGCACAGAGUGCCCUCCGGCGAGCCGCUCCGAUCUACACGGGGACGACGCACAGAUGCGGUAGAAUAUGAAGAGGGGAAGGUGUUGCUCACCCUAGGGCCCCUCGACGUAGCACAUCCCGUGGAAGAAGAGGAAGAAGAACGAUGUUGCAUGCUUCGGGUCCGCAGGGAGAUCAUCGGAGACGAGGUCGUGGCCGUCGGUGUAGUCGUGCCCCGGCCUCACCGACGAUGGGAAUGGAACUCGGGCACUCCCCCCGAGUUCCCAGACAUACUUGCUGGCAUCGGAGGCGAGGGACGCGCGAUGGAGAUGGCGGCGCUCUACCGCUACUCCUCUGCUACCUCUCGAUCUAACAGAGAGCUUACCUUGGGGGAGGGAGAGAGAUGGAGGAGGAGGUGGCGGCGGCGACGAGGGGAAUAGGGAAACCCUAUCGGGCACGCACGUCGAUGCAAUAUAUGGGCCACGGAUGGGACGCAUGGCGUCAGCUCUCUCUCGCUCUCUCUGAAGUUACUGACGGAAAGCAGUGCGGGAAGAGACGCCGUCAGGAGGAAGGAGAAGGAGCGCGCGGUGGGCUGUCGCUGGGGAAAGAAAGGAGGAGGCCCAAGCGGGAGGAGGGAGGAAGCCCAACACCACUUGGCCUGGCAGCUAAAACAAAAAGGGGUUUUCCCUUUUAUUUAAAACCACACCACAAAAGAAAAUGCCCAGAGUCCAGCUAGCACAAUAAAAGCAAAAUAAAAAUACUCUGGGCAUCAGGGAAUUAUGCCCUAAUAAAAUAAAAAGUAAAACUGAAUUUUUAAGAAAAUAAAAUACAAAAGGAAAACAGGGUUUAACCUACUGUUUUAAACAAAAGAAAAAUAACCCAAACCCCUCUACACCAAGGGAGCUACCCAAUCUGCCACACAUAUUAAACACAAAACAACCAACAUUUUUAAAACAGGGUUUAACCAAGUAAAUUCCACAAGUUGACAAAAAUGAGGGAGAUAGGGUAUUUUUGAAACCUAGCUUUGGAAGAAGUAAAGUAGAAACCAAGCCUUCACAAUACUUCACUCCACUUGCACUCAUCACACCACAUACACAAGGACCAACACCACAACACACAUGAUGGCAAGAAUGAUAUGGAUGCAUGAAUGCAAAGGGAUCACAAGACAUGAGCACAUGAAAUACCACAUGAAAUAUAGCUCUCAUAGCAAUGACAUCGUGGACCCACAUACAUGAAGGUUCCAAAUAUGGCAAGUUACACUCUGGGGCAUUACAAACUCUCCCACACUACAAAAAUAUCUUGCCCCGAGAUCUAGGACUGAAAGAACUCUGGGAACUCGGAAUGGAGGUGAUCCUCGCGUUCCCAAGUGGCCUCUUUAUCGGAAUGAUGUGACCACUGCACCUUGAGAAAUUUGAUAGACUAGUUGCGGGUCUUGCGCUCAGUCGCCUCGAGAACCGCAACUGGAUGCUCAUGAUAGGAUAGGUCGGGUUGAAGGUCGAUGUCUUAAAGAUGAACUAUGCGCUUGGGAGUCUUGAAGCAUCUCCGGAGCUGAGAGACAUGGAACACGUCAUGCACAUUUGCAAAGUUUGAAGGGAGCUCAAGCUGAUACGCGAGGUCGCCUCUCUUGCCAACAACUCUGAAAGGACCAACGAAACGAGGAGCAAGCUUGCCUUUGGUGCCAAAACGUUGUGUGCCCUUCAUAGGAGACACUUUGAGAUAGACGAAGUCAUCGAGCUCAUAAGACAUGUCACGAUGCUUGCUAUCAUAGUAGCUCUUCUGACGGGACUGCGCUACUCUGAGAUUAUCCCGAAUGACCCGACACAUCUCUUCAGCUUCUUCGAUCAAGUCAUUCCCAAGAAUCUGACGCUCGCCAAUCUCGGACCAGUUGAGCGGGGUACGGCACUUCCUGCCAUAGAGAAUCUCAAACGGAGCUUUGCCUGAACUAGCUUGAUGACUAUUGUUAUACGAGAACUCAGUGAAAGGCAGGCAGUCUUCCCACUUCAUGCCAAAAGAAAUGACAUAGGCUCUCAGCAUAUCCUCAAGGACCUGAUUAACUCUCUCCACUUGCCCACUGGUAUGAGGAUGAAAAGUUGUGAUGAAUCCUAUCUUCGUACCCAUCGCGGACUGAAAAGAGUCCCAGAACUUGGAAGUGAAGAUACUUCCGCGAUCCGAAGAAAUCAACAUAGGCACGCCGUGCAGAGAUACUAUCCUGGAAGUGAACAACUCUGCAAGCUGAGCUGCCGAGAUGGAUUCCUUGACUGGAAGAAAAUGAGCCACUUUACUCAACUUGUCAAUGACGACGAAGAUGGCAUCGUUACCCUCUUGGACUUCGGAAACCCGGUGACGAAAUCCAUCUCAAUAUGGUCGAACUUCCACUCGGUAAUGCUCAAUGGAUGCAAAAGACCUGCUGGACGAUGAUGCUGUGCUUUCACCCUUCAACAUACAUCACAUUCAUUUACGAACUGAGCAAUCUCACGCUUCAUGCGAGUCCACCAGAAGGUAUGUUUCAAGUCCUGAUACAUCUUGGAGCUUCCUGGAUGUAUUGAGAGCAGAGAGUUAUGAGCUUCUUCCAUGAUUACCUUUCUGAGAUCCCCUUUCGGGACGACAAGACGAUCCUCAAAGAAUAAUGUGUCUCUGGCAUCAACACUGAAGCACUUAUAUUUGGGAACUCCCUUUGCCAAGCCAAUCUUAACUUUCUUCACCAUUGCAUCAAGAAGUUGUGCUGCUCGGACCUGAUCUUCCAAGGUAGAAGAGAUCUGAAGAUUUGCAAGAUAUUCCUGAGGUACUAACUGAAGGUUGAGCUUUCUGAAAGAUUCACAAAGGUCAGGCUGGAGAGGCUUCAGAAUGAGACUGUUGCAGUAAGCCUUCCUGCUCAAAGCAUCUGCCACGACAUUAGCUUUGCCUAGAGUGUACUCAACGCUCGGAUUAAAAUCUUGGAGCAUUUCCACCCAACGAGUUUGUCGAAGAUUCGGGUUAGGCUGGGUGAAGAUGUACUUGAGACUCUUGUGAUCGGUGAACACUUCAACCUUUCGUUCCAACAAGAGGUGUCUCCAAGUCAUCAGAGCAUGUACCACUGCCGCAAACUCAAGAUCAUGCAUAGGAUAAUUCUUCUCACUUGGCUUCAACUGCCUCGAGGUAUAAGCUACCACUUUCUUGUCUUGCAUCAACACAACACCAAGACCUUGAAGAGAGGCAUCGCAGAACACUUGGUAAGGUUUGGAGUCAUCAGGAGGAACCAAGACUGGAGUAGAGGUGACCUUCUCUUUGAGUGUGUCGAAGGCCAACUGACCCUCUGGAGACCAGACAUACUUCACACCCUUCUGAAGAAGACUUGAGAGAGGCUUAGCAAUCUUGGAGAAGUUCUCAACGAACCUUCUACAAUAGCUUGCAAGCCCGAGAAAGCUUCGAAGAUGCUUCACAUUUUGCGGAGGCUCCCACUCAACAAUGGCCUGCACCUUCGAUGGAUCAACUUUGAUGCCCUCGGCAGAGAUGAUGUGCCCAAGGUAGACAACUUCUUUCAACCAGAACUCACAUUUGGAAAACUUGGCAUAGAAUUUAUGCUGUCUCAGCUUAUCAAGCACCAGCCUGAGAUGUUCUUCAUGCUCUUCCUCAGUUUCCGAAAAGACCAGAAUAUCAUCGAGAUAAAGCAAGACAAAUUCAUUCUUGAACGUAGAGAAUAUGUAGUUCAUCAUUCAACAAAAUGUCGGUGGAGCAUUUGCCAGACCAAAAGACAUGACCGUAUACUCAUACGAGCCAAAACUUGUCCUGAAAGCAGUCUUUGGAAUAUCCUCUUUGCGAAUGCGAAUUUGAUGAUUGCCCAUCCUGAGAUCGAGCUUGGAGAAGACCUUAGCCCCUUUCAAUUGCUCGAACAACUCAUUUAUGUUAGGAAGUGGAUACUUGUUCCUGAUUGUCUUCUUGUUUAAUGGACGGUAAUCGACACACAAUCGGUUCGUGCCAUCCUUCUUCUUGACAAACAAUACUCCACAUCCCCAAGGAGAAGAGCUUGGUCUGAUCAGACCCAAAUGCUCCUGCUCAUCGAGUUGCCUCUUAAGUUCCUUCAGCUCUUCUGGACCCAAUUUGUACGGCCGUUUGCACACAGGCUCAGUACCCGGUUCAAGCUCAAUAACGAAUUCAACUUCUCGGUGCAGAGGCAUUCCUGGCAGUUCUUCUCGAAACACAUCCUCAUAUUCGCAGACCACUCGGACUUGCGAAAUUGGGGAAAUCUCACCCUUCUCAUUGAAGGAAAAUAGACGGAUUGUGUCAUCAGGCGCCGUGAAGAUAAUCACGUCCUCCGAAGAGUGAGUUAGCUUCACAAUCAAUCGAUGCCUUGUUCAUAGCCAACCAGUCCAUACCAAGGAUCAAAUCAAUGUCAGAAUUGCCCAAGACAAUAGGAGACGCCAGGAAAGCAUAUUUACCCAUCUUGACAGUGACAUCCGGAACCAAACAAUUGGAAUUCAUCAAUCUCCCAUGAGAAACUACUGAGACCGGCUUAAGCAAAUCUUCACAAACAAAAUCAAGCUUUGCAAAGAAUGGGCGUGACAUGAAGCAAUGCGAUGCACCAGAAUCAAAUAACACUUUAGCAGGAAUGUCAUUAACGAGUAGGUUACCCAUAAUCACAUCUGGCGAGUUCUCUGCUUCAGAUGCAUUCACCAUAUUGACUCUAGUAGACCUGGGGUUGAACUUCACGAUAGCAUUGCUUGGAGGUUUGCCUGGAGGAGGAGGCGGAAGACGCAGCUGAGAAGUGCACUUGUUGGCAUAGUGACCCUUCUACCCACACUUGUGACAAGUAACAUCUGCCGGCUGAUGGUACUGUGUCUGAGGAGGCCCUUGCUUCUGCUGCUGAAACCUCUGCUGGAAAGUUGGGUUGGGUGGGUUGGGAGAACCACGGGCACGUGAAUGCUUGAACUGCUGCGUGUGCCGAGGAGGAGGAGGAGACACCCAAUACUUCUGUUGCUUCUGAACCACCUGAGUUGAGGAAGACGAGCUGGAAUCUCUGAAGCGCUUCUUUGAAUUCUCCACCCUGAGCAAAGCUGCCUCAGCCCUGAAAGCCAAGUUGUAGAACUUAUCGAACUCCUCGGGAUCGUGCAAAGCGAGGGCUAGCUGCAAAUCCUCUUUCAAACCACCUCUGAACUGAUAAAUCUUGCUCUUAUGAUCUGGAAUAUCCUGCAAGGCAUAUCGUGCUAGCUCGUGGAACUCAGCGUUGUACUUGUACACUGAGUUACCACCUUGCUUCAAGCGCCUGAACUUCUCACGCAUCUCCUCCACAAAGCUAGAUGGGAUGUAGUGGGAGCUGAAGUCUCUACAGAACUCAUCCCAAGUGAUCACUCUGGCACCCCUGGAAUCCUUCAACUGCUGCCACCAGAUCGAUGCUUGACCCUUCAGCUGGAAUGUUGCAAACUUGACGAAAUCCUCUGGGCGAACAUUGCUGCAUUCAAAGUGCUUGUUCAUGUCGCGAAUCCAAUCCUCAACAUCAAACGGCUGGUCACACGACGUGAAGGUCUUCGGCUGAUUUGACAGGAACUGACUCAGAUUAGCAAACUGAUUGCCCCCAUGAUUGAAGUUGCCUUGCUGCUGAUUAGUCCUCUCUUGCAACAACUGGAUCAGCAUGUGCGUGCUUGCAUUUGUAGGAGCCAUCACCGCUUGCCAAGCCUCUGCAGGAGGAGGCGGUGGCGGAGGAGGAUUUUCUGGAGGAGGGGGUGGUGGCGGCAUCUCAGCACCCUCACGACCUGGAUUCUGACGAGUUGGUGGAUCCAUCCUGAAGACGGACAACACAUUAGCCCGCAGAAUAAAUUGAAGGUAAAGCUGAAUCAAAAAGGCAGGAAUAUCUGAACAGGAAUAUAGCAAUUGCACUCGAACAAAAUAGUAAGAAUGCUUCCUCAAAGUACUGUCGACAAAAUUCUGAUUAAGACCACUUGCAAACAAGUAUGAGCUAGAACUGUUCGGAACAAACAUAUGAUCGAGAUUUCAUCCGAUAUCAUCUUGGAUAAGAUCGCACGGGGCUCGAAUUUACAGUAGCCAUCCUGUGCAAGGUAGUGCACACGACUUACGAAGUAUCCCCGAGUCGUAGCAAGCUACAAGGACUCUUUAAGACACAACGAGAACCGCUAUAGGACGACCAUGAACAAACGUACCCACUGAAUGUCGAAUCCCAACCUCACAUCAUGCAUCUGUAGGAAGAUUGUCCUAUAAGUCACUACUUCAUAUCCCAUCUAUGAAUUCCUGGAAUAUCUGGUCAUGCAAUCUGGUACACGGAUACAAGGAGUAAUAUUCACACAACUCCUAUACUAACCCGUCCAAUGUAUCACAUUCAUCAACACAUAACUAGAAUCUCGGACCUUCAUCUAACAGAGACCCUCGUGGUCACAACGAUACAAAGUAUGGCAGUACUCCCGAACAAUCUGCACCAGUACCGGGGACAUCGGGGUUAUCUCGCCACUACUAGUAUUGUAGCAAUUACGAACAUCCUUCGUUCUGAGAUACUCAGAAAUCUGAAUGAUGGCGAUGUGCACAAGAAUCCCCUCGAGCUCAACUCCCCGGAAGAAAUCAAGGCAGACAGGAGGCACCAAGACAGAACUCCGUCACAUCAAUAUCAUAUAAAUUUCAAAAUACCCGCAUGAUCCUAAAAAAAAUUGAGCGAGAAGAGGAGUAGAAUUAAGAUUUCCUAAGACGAGAACCUCACCACAGCAUGGAAGAGGAGAAAAAACAAACCUACUCUCCGAUAUAACUAAGACUCAAAACAUUUUACUAGACUCGACUCGGCCAAGUACAAUCACACAAAGCCUCCUAUGGUCGUAAGGCUCUGAUUACCAACUUGUAACGACUAAGAUGCGGUCCUUUCCUAUUUAGGGGGCGAUGUCCCAAAACGGAAAGAAGCGCAUCUAUGCGUUUCGCAAGCAAGAUAAACAUAGCAUAUACAUAAUUAAAGAAUGACAAAUAGGGAAUCGUUUGUCAUCUCAUAUAGAUAAUAUCUGAGUUUACAUCCACACAUUUAUUCAGACAAGGUAGUUCCUCUACGGACUACAUAACAUAAGAAAAGGCUAUGCUAUCCCGCAUGCUUGCCCACGAUCACGACCAUGCCUCAGUCUUCUGGAUAGUUCACGUACAGGCGGUCGUUCUCCUCAUCGUACUGCCACGCCAGCUGCGUGUCAUCGGGAUCACCUGUGUCGGGCGUACCUGUACCUGUUGGGGUGUUGAAUUAAUCUGUGAGCCACAGGGACUCAGCAAUCUAUGACCUUGGUACCGAAACUAGUCAAGUUAUUAGGUGAGAAAGGUUCAGUGUUUAGGUUGCAGCAUCCUAAGCAUUUAUGGUGGCUAACUUAAUAGAACAAAGUUAUAGAUGUGUUACGUCGAUGCAAGCUUUGACACUAAUCCGAAUAACUAUGAGUAGUGAAACGGAUUCGUAUAGUAGAGUAGAUAUUUGGAGCAUUUCCGAAUAGCACGUAGUAGCAGCAUCUAUAAGAUGACAUAAAUAUUUGUAAAGAACGCACGGAUCUGAAAGUUUCAGAACCGUUGACUAAAACCUCUCUCACGAGCAAGACGUGAUCAGACCCCAUAACUAUAUGGGUGUUGGAUUCGUUGGAAUCACAUGGUGAUGUGAACUAGAUUAUUGACUCUAGUGCAAGUGGGAGACUGUUGGAAAUAUGCCCUAGAGGCAAUAAUAAAUUAGUUAUUAUUAUAUUUCUUAGUUCAUGAUAAUCGUUUAUUAUCCAUGCUAUGAUUGUAUUGAUUGGAAACACAAUACUUGUGUGGAUACAUAGACGAAACACUGUCCCUAGUAAGCCUCUAGUUGACUAGCUCGUUGAUCAAAGAUGGUCAAGGUUUCCUGGCCAUAGGCAAGUGUUGUCACUUGAUAAAGGGAUCACAUCAUUAGGAGAAUCAUGUGAUGGACUAGACCCAAACUAAUAGACGUAGCAUGUUGAUCGUGUCAUUUUGUUGCUACUGUUUUCUGCGUGUCAAGUAUUUGUUCCUAUGACCAUGAAAUCAUAUAACUCACGGACACCGGAGGAAUGCUUUGUGUGUAUCAAACGUCGCAACGUAACUGGGUGACUAUAAAGAUGCUCUACAGGUAUCUCCGAAGGUGUUCGUUGAGUUAGUAUAGAUCGAGACUGGGAUUUGUCACUCCGUGUGACGGAGAGGUAUCUCAGGGCCCACUCGGUAAUACAACAUCACACACAAGCCUUGCAAGCAAUGUAACUUAGUGUAAGUUGCAGGAUCUUGUAUUACGGAACGAGUAAAGAGACUUGCCGGUAAACGAGAUUGAAAUAGGUAUACGGAUACUGACGAUCGAAUCUCGGGCAAGUAACAUACCGAAGGACAAAGGGAAUGACAUACGGGAUUAUACGAAUCCUUGGCACUGAGGUUCAAACGAUAAGAUCUUCGUAGAAUAUGUAGGAUCCAAUAUGGGCAUCCAGGUCCCGCUAUUGGAUAUUGACCGAGGAGUCUCUUGGGUCAUGUCUACAUAGUUCUCGAACCCGCAGGGUCUGCACACUUAAGGUUCGACAUUGUUUUAUGCGUAUUUGAGUUAUAUGGUUGGUUACCGAAUGUUGUUCGGAGUCCCUGAUGAGAUCACGGACGUCACGAGGGUUUCCGGAAUGGUCCGGAAACGAAGAUUGAUAUAUAGGAUGACCUCAUUUGAUUACCGGAAGGUUUUCGGAGUUACCGGGAAUGUACCGGGAAUGACGAAUGGGUUCCGGGAGUUCACCGGGGGGGCAACCCACCCCGGGGAAGCCCAUAGGCCUUUGGGGAGACACACCAGCCCUUAGUGGGCUGGUGGGACAGCCCACAAGUGGUCUAUGCGCCAAGAGAAGAAAAAUCAAGAGGAAAAGAAAAAAAAGGGAGGAGGUGGGAAGGGAGGAGGACUCCCUCCCACCAAACCUAGUCCAACUCGGUUUGGGGGGGGAGAGUCCUCCCCCUUGGCUCGGCCGACCCCCUUGAGGGUCCUUGGACCCCAAGGCAAGGCCCCCUCCCUCCCACCUAUAUAUACGGAGGUUUUAGGGCUGAUUUGAGACGACUUUUCCACGGCAGCCCGACCACAUACCUCCACGGUUUUUCCUCUAGAUCGCGUUUCUGCGGAGCUCGGGCGGAGCCCUGCUGAGACAAGGUCAUCACCAACCUCCGGAGCGCCGUCAUGCUGCCGGAGAACUCUUCUACCUCUCAGUCUCUCUUGCUGGAUCAAGAAGGCCGAGAUCAUCGUCGAGCUGUACGUGUGCUGAACGCGGAGGUGUCGUCCGUUCGGUACUAGAUCGUGGGACUGAUCGCGGGAUUGUUCGCGGGGCGGAUCGAGGGACGUGAGGACGUUCCACUACAUCAACCGCGUUCUCUAACGCUUCUGCUGUACGAUCUACAAGGGUAUGUAGAUCACUCAUCCCCUCUCGUAGAUGGACAUCACCAUGAUAGGUCUUCGUGCGCGUAGGAAAAUUUUUGUUUCCCAUGCGACGUUCCCCAACAGUGGCAUCAUGAGCUAGGUUCAUGCGUAGAUGUCUUCUCGAGUAGAACACAAAAGUUUUUGUGGGCGGUGAUGUGCGUUUUGCUGCCCUCCUUAGUCUUUUCUUGAUUCCGCGGUAUUGUUGGAUUGAAGCGGCUUGGACCGACAUUACUCGUACGCUUAGGAGAGACUGGUUUCAUCGUUACGAGUGACCCCCUUUGCUCAAAGAUGACUGGCAAGUGUCGGUUUCUCCAACUUUAGUUGAAUCAGAUUUGACCGAGGAGGUCCUUGGAUGAGGUUAAAUAGCAACUCAUAUAUCUCCAUUGUGGUGUUUGCGUAAGUAAGAUGCGAUCCUACUAGAUACCCAUGGUCACCAUGUAAAACAUGCAACAACAAAAUUAGAGGACGUCUAACUUGUUUUUGCAGGGUAUGAUUGUGAUGUGAUAUGGCCAACGAUGUGAUGUGAUAUAUUGGAUGUAUGAGAUGAUCAUGUUGUAAUAGAAAUAUCGACUUGCACGUCGAUGGUACGGCAACCGGCAGGAGCCAUAGGGUUGUCUUUAUACUAACGUUUGUGCUUGCAGAUGCAUUUACUAUUUUGCUAGGAUGUAGCUUUAGUAGUAAUAGCGUGAGUAGCACGACAACCCCGAUGGCAACACGUUGAUGGAUGAUCAUGGUGUGGCGCCGGUGACAAGAAGAUCGUGCCGGUGCUUUGGUGAUGGAGAUCAAGAAGCACGUGAUGAUGGCCAUAUCAUGUCACUUAUGAAUUGCAUGUGAUGUUAAUCCUUUUAUGCACCUUAUUUUGCUUAGAACGGCGGUAGCAUUAUGAGGUGAUCUCUCACUAAAAUUUCAAGACGAAAUUGUGUUCUCCCCGACUGUGCACCGUUGCUACAGUUCGUCGUUUCGAGACACCACGUGAUGAUCGGGUGUGAUAGACUCAACGUUCACAUACAACGGGUGCAAAACAGUUGCGCACGCGGAACACUCGGGUUAAGCUUGACGAGCCUAGCAUGUGCAGACAUGGCCUCGGAACACAUGAGACCGAAAGGUCGAGCAUGAAUCGUAUAGUUGAUAUGAUUAGCAUAGAGAUGCUUACCACUGAAACUAUUCUCGACUCACGUGAUGAUCGGACUUGAGAUAGUGGAUUUGGAUCAUGUACCACUCAAAUGACUAGAGAGAUGUACUUUUUGAGUGGGAGUUCUUAAGUAAUAUGAUUAAUUGAACUAAUUGUCAUGAACAUAGUCUAAUGGUCUUUGCGAAUUACGAUGUAGCUUGCGCUAUAGCUCUACUGUUUUAUAUGUUCCUAGAGAAAAUUUAGUUGAAAGUUGAUAGUAGCAAACUUUGCAGAUUGAGUCUGUAAAACCGAGGAUUGUCCUCGUUGCUGCACAGAAGGCUUAUGUUCUUAAUGCACCACUCGGUGUGUUGCACCUCGAGCGUCGUCUGUGGAUGCUGUGAACAUCCGACAUACACGUUUCUGAUGACUACACGAUAGUUCAGUACAAAAAUACUUAAUGGCUUAGAAGCAAGGCGCCGAAAACGUUGUAAAACGUGACGGAACAUAAGUGAUGUUCUAAAGAGAUGAAAUUGUGAUUUCAUGCUUGUGCCCUUGUUAAGAGGUACGAGACCUCCAACAAGAUUCUUUGUCCACAAAGUAAAGGAGAAAAGCUCAAUCGUUGAGCGUGUGCUCAGAUUGUCUGAGUACGACAAUCACUUGAAUCAAGUGGGAGUUAAUCUUCCAGAUGAGAUAGUGAUGGUUCUCCAAAGUCACUGCCACCAAGCUGUGAGAGCUUCGUGAUGAACUAUAACAUAUCAAGGAUAGAUACAAUGAUCCUUGAGCGAUUCACGAUGUUUGACGCUGCGAAAGUAGAAAUCAAGAAGGAGCGUCAAUAGUUGAUGGCUUGUAAAACCACUAAGUUUCAAGAAAGGCAAGGGCUAGAAGGGAUACUUCGUGAAACGGCAAAACAGUUGCUGCACUAAUGAAGAGACUCAAGAUUAAACCCAAACCCGAGACUAAGUGCUUCUGUAAUGAGGGGAACAGUCACUGAGGCGGAGCAACUCUAGAUACUUGGUAGAUAAGAAGGCUGGCGAAAGUCGAAAGAAGUGUAUUUGAUAUACAUGAUGUUGAUGUGUACUUUACUAGUACUCCUAGUAGCAUGAGGGUAUUGGAUACCGGUUCGGUUGCUAAGUGAUUAGUAACACGAAAUGAAAGCUACGGCAUAAACGGAGACUAGCUAAAGGCGAGGUGACAAUACGUGUUGGAAGUGUUUCCAAGGUUGAUAUGAUCAAACAUCGCACGCUCCCUCUACCAUCGGGAUUGGUGUUAAACCUAAAUAAUUGUUAUUUGGUGCUUGCGUUAAGCAUGAACAUGAUUGGAUCGUGUUUAUUGCAAUACGAUUAUUCAUUUAAGGAGAAUAAUGGUUACUCUAUUUUCUUGAAUAUUCACCUUCAAUGGUUUAUUGAAUCUCGAUCGUAGUGUUACACAUGUUCAUGAUAUUGGUGCCAAAAGAUACGAGUUAAUGAUGAUAGUACCACUUACUUGUGGCACUGCCGCUUGAGUCAUGUUAGUAUAAAUUGCAUAAAGAGGCUCCAUGCUGAUGGAUCUUUGUACUCACCUGAUUUCGAAUCACAAGUGACAUGCAAAUCAUACCACAUGAGCAAGGCCUUGUUUUCAUUGAGAUGAAAUAAGAUAGUAACUUGUUGGAAGUGAUACAUUUUGAUGUAUGCAGUCCAAUGGGUGCUGAGGCACGUAGUGGAUAUCAUUAUGUUCUUACUUCACUGACGAUUUGAGUAGAUACAGGAGUAUUUACUUAAUGAAUCACAAGUCUGAAAUGUUGAAAAGUUCAAUUCCGUUUCAGAGUGAAGUUCGUCGUAACAAGAGGAUAAACUGUCUACGAUAUGAUCAUGGAAAUUAAUAUCUGAGUUACGAGUUUUGGUACGGAGUUAAGACAAUGUGGAAAUUGUUUCGCAGUUCAUGCCACCUGGAAUAUCAUAGUGUGAUGAUGUGUUUGAACGUCAUAGCCACGCACUAUUUGGUAUGGUGCAUACUAUGAUGUCUCUUAUCGAAUUACCACUAUCGUUUAUGGGUUAUGCAUUAGAGACAACCGCAUUCACUUUAAAUAGGGCACCACAUAUUUCCGUUGAGAUGACACAGUAUAGACUGGGGUUUAGAGAAAUCUAAACUGUCGUUUCUUGAAAGUUUGGGGCUUCGACACUUAUGUGAAAAAGUUUCAGUCUGAUAAGCUCGAACCCAAAGCGGAUAAAUGCAUCUUCAUAGGAUAUCCAAAACAGUUGGGUACAUCUCCUAUCUCAAGAUCCGAAAGCAAAGUGUUUGUUUCUAGAAACGGAUCCUUUCUCGAGGAAAGGUUUCUCUCGAAAGAAUUGAGUGGGAGGGUAGUAGAACUUGAUGAGGUUAUUGAACCAUCACUUCAACCAGUGUGUAGCAGGGCGCAGGAAGUUGUUCCUGUGGCGCCUACACCAAUUGAAGUGGGAGCUGAUGAUGGUGAUCAUCAAGCAUCGGAUCAAGUUACUACAAGCCUCGUAGGUUGACAAGGUCGCAUACUACUAUAGAGUGGUACGGUAACCCUGUCUUGGAGGUCAUGUUGUUGAGCAACAGUGAACCUACGAGUUAUGGAGAAAGCGAUGGUGGGCCCAGAUUCCGACAAAUGGCUGGAAGCCAUGAAAUCCGAGAGAGGAUCCAUGUAUGAAAACAAAGUGUAGACUUUGAAAGAACUACUUGAUGGUCAUAAGACUAUUGAGUAAAGAUGGAUCUUUAAAAGAAGACAGACGAUGAUGGUGAUAAGUCACUAUUAAGAAAAGCUCGACUUGUCGCAAAGAUGUUUUCGACAAGAUCAAACAGUUGACUAUGAUGAGACUUUCUCACUCGUAGCGAUGCUAAAGGUCUGUUAGAAUUAUGUUAGUUGUUGAUGCAUUAUUUAUGAAAUAUUGCACGUAGGAUGUCAAAACAUUGUUUUCUCGACGGUUUCCUUGAGCAAACAUUGUAUGUGAUACAACCAGAAGGUUUUGUCGAUCCUAAAGAUACUAGCAAGUAUGCAAGCUCCAGUGAUCCUUCAAUGGACUAGUGCAAGCAUCUCGGAGUUGGAAUAUACACUUUGAUGAGAUGAUCAAAGAUUUUGGGUUUGUACAAGGUUUAUGAGAAACUUGUAUUUCCAAAGAAGUGAGUGGGAGCACUAUAGAAUUUCUGAUAGGUAUAUGUGGUUGACAUAUUGUGGAUCAGAAGUAAUGUAGAAUUUCUGUAAAGCAUACAAGGUUGUUUGAAAGAAAUUUUCAAAGGAGUACCUGGAUUACGCUACUUGAACGUUGAGCGUCAAAGAUCUAUGGAGAUAGAUCGAAAGCGCUUAAUAGAAGUUUCAACAAGAUGCAUGCCUUGACAAGUUUUUGAAGGAGUUCAAAAUAGAUCAGCAAAGAAGGAGUUCUUGGUUGCGUUGUGAGGUGUGAAUUUGAGUAAGACUCAAAACCCGACCCCGGCAGAAUAAAGAGAAUAGACGAAGGUCGUCUUCUAUGCCUUAGCCGUAGAAUCUAAAGUAUGCCAUGCUGUGUACCGCACCUGAUGUGUGCCUUGACUCAAAGUAUGUUGAGAGGUACAGAGAGUGAUCCAUGAUUGAAUCACUAGCAGCGGUCAAAAUUUAUCAUUAGUAACUAAUGGACUAAGGAAUUUUUCUCGAUUAUGGAGGUGGUUAAAUAGUUCGUCGUAAAGGGUUACGUCGAUGCAAGCUUUGACACUAAUCCGAAUAACUAUGAGUAGUGAAACGGAUUCGUAUAGUAGAGUAGAUAUUUGGAGCAUUUCCGAAUAGCACGUAGUAGCAGCAUCUAUAAGAUGACAUAAAUAUUUGUAAAGAACGCACGGAUCUGAAAGUUUCAGAACCGUUGACUAAAACCUCUCUCACGAGCAAGACGUGAUCAGACCCCAUAACUAUAUGGGUGUUGGAUUCGUUGGAAUCACAUGGUGAUGUGAACUAGAUUAUUGACUCUAGUGCAAGUGGGAGACUGUUGGAAAUAUGCCCUAGAGGCAAUAAUAAAUUAGUUAUUAUUAUAUUUCUUAGUUCAUGAUAAUCGUUUAUUAUCCAUGCUAUAAUUGUAUUGAUUGGAAACACAAUACUUGUGUGGAUACAUAGACGAAACACUGUCCCUAGUAAGCCUCUNNNNNNNNNNNNNNNNNNNNNNNNNNNNNNNNNNNNNNNNNNNNNNNNNNNNNNNNNNNNNNNNNNNNNNNNNNNNNNNNNNNNNNNNNNNNNNNNNNNNNNNNNNNNNNNNNNNNNNNNNNNNNNNNNNNNNNNNNNNNNNNNNNNNNNNNNNNNNNNNNNNNNNNNNNNNNNNNNNNNNNNNNNNNNNNNNNNNNNNNNNNNNNNNNNNNNNNNNNNNNNNNNNNNNNNNNNNNNNNNNNNNNNNNNNNNNNNNNNNNNNNNNNNNNNNNNNNNNNNNNNNNNNNNNNNNNNNNNNNNNNNNNNNNNNNNNNNNNNNNNNNNNNNNNNNNNNNNNNNNNNNNNNNNNNNNNNNNNNNNNNNNNNNNNNNNNNNNNNNNNNNNNNNNNNNNNNNNNNNNNNNNNUCACCGGGGGGGCAACCCACCCCGGGGAAGCCCAUAGGCCUUUGGGGAGACACACCAGCCCUUAGUGGACUGGUGGGACAGCCCACAAGUGGUCUAUGUGCCAAGAGAAGAAAAAUCAAGAGGAAAAAAAAGGGAGGAGGUGGGAAGGGAGGAGGACUCCCUCCCACCAAACCUAGUCCAACUCGGUCUGGGGGGGGAGAGUCCUCCCCCUUGGCUCGGCCGACCCCCUUGAGGGUCCUUUGACCCCAAGGCAAGGCCCCCUCCCUCCCACCUAUAUAUACGGAGGUUUUAGGGCUGAUUUGAGACGACUUUUCCACGGCAGCCCGACCACAUACCUCCACGGUUUUUCCUCUAGAUCGCGUUUCUGCGGAGCUCGGGCGGAGCCCUGCUGAGACAAGGUCAUCACCGACCUCUGGAGCGCCGUCACGCUGCCGGAGAACUCUUCUACCUCUCCUUCUCUCUUGCUGGAUCAAGAAGGCCGAGAUCAUCGUCGAGCUGUACGUGUGCUGAACGCGGAGGUGCCGUCCGUUCGGUACUAGAUCGUGGGACUGAUCGCGGGAUUGUUCGCGGGGCGGAUCGAGGGACGUGAGGACGUUCCACUACAUCAACCGCGUUCUCUAACGCUUCUGCUGUACGAUCUACAAGGGUAUGUAGAUCACUCAUCCCCUCUCGUAGAUGGACAUCACCACGAUAGGUCUUCGUGCGCAUAGGAAAUUUUUUGUUUCCCAUGCGACGUUCCCCAACAGGGUCUACACACUUAAGGUUCGAUGACGCUAGGGUUAUAUGGGAAUAGGGUACGUGGUUACCAAAGGUUGUUAGGAGUCUCGGAUGAGAUCCCGGACGUCACGAGGAGUUCCGGAAUUGUCCGGAGGUAAAGAUUCAUAUAUAGGAAGCGAUGAUUUGAUCACCGGAAGUGUUUCGGGCGUCACUGGUAAUGUACCGGGACCACCGGAAGGGUUCUGAGGGUCCACCUAGAAGGGCCACCAGCCCCAAAGUGCUACAUGUGCCAAGAGUGCAAGGGAACCAGCCCCUCGAUGGGCCGGUGCGCCUCCCAUCAAAGCCCAAGGCGCACAAGGGGUGGAGAGGGGCAAAAUCCUAGGCGUGGAGGGGCAGCCUUGGGCUUUCAAGCCCACCCUAGGGCGCCUCCUCCACCCUUGGCUGCCGCCCCCUUGCCCAUCUAGGGCUUCCGCACCCCUUAGGAUGGAAACCCUAAGUGUGGGCACCCUCCUCCCUCUCCUCCUAUAUAUAGUGGAGGGUUUGGGGCUGUUUUGAGACACAAUUUCUCUCUCUCUCGGCGCAGCCCUACUCCUCCUCCUUCUCGUCCUCCGUAGAGCUUGGCAAAGCCCUAUCAGAGUACCACGAGCUUCACCGUCGUGUUGCCGGAGCUCUCCCUCAACCUCUCCUCCCUCCUUGUUGGAUCAAGGCAUAGGAGACAUCACCGGGCUGCACGUGUGUUGAACGUGGAGGCGUCGUUGUUCGGUGCAUAGGUCGGAAUCUGCCGCGAUCUGAAUCGCUGCGAGUACGACUCCAUCAACCGCGUUCUAGCAACGCUUCCACUUUGUGAUCUUCAAAGGUAUGAAGAUUCUCUAUCCCAUUGCUCGUUGUUGGUUUCUCCUAGAUAGAUCCUUGUGAAGCAUAUGAAUUUUUUUAAAUUACUACGUUCCCCAACAGGUACGUGCGAGCAAAACGGUCUCGAACCGCUCAUUCAAAAAAUAAACUACGACCUUUGAAAGUAGGAAAGAUGCCGCCCAUUGUUAAAAUGGUGGGCCCAGGGAUAAAAAUCUAUAUAUGUGUCUAUGUUUUUAAAGGAGAAGGAGUUAUCGAUAGCCAAACUAUCUUCAGUUAAGGGAAAAAGAGGAACUCGCCUCGCAAGCGAGAGCUCCCGUAACAUCGGUAGAGGAAGAUUUCGGUGUUGGAGGCUAGUUCGGGGGCUACUGAGGGAGUCCAGGAUUAGGGGGUCCUUGGGUUGACUAUCUAUGCUCAUGGGUCGGGCUCUCUGGCCUGUUCGACCAUCGACAAACAUAUUGGAUUCGAGAUGGUCUCUUCCGAAGACUUGGCGUACAAUCAAAGGAAAUAUAGGCAUCAACAUAUUCCUUCUCUGUUGUAACCGACUUUGUAAAGACCCAGACACCCCUAGCAUCUAUAUAAGCCACGGGUGUGUAUCCCACAUGAUAGAUCAAACUCAUUAUGAUUAGGGUUUAGACCACAACAUUGAUCUUGCAGUAGAUCAACUCCGUACUCUGUACUAUCUCAUCAAUAACAUCAAGAGCACAACAUAGAGUUUUGCCUCCUGUCGUGGGUAUAAGCCUGACAGUAGAUGUGUAGGGUACGAAAAGGAUGGGCAGAGUCCCAGCUACGGCGAGGUUGUAUGAGUUCAGGCCCCUCUACGGUGGAGGUAAUAGCCCUACGUCUCAGUGCUCUGGGAGCUUGUUGUCGAGUGGAAUAUGGAAUACAAUGAUUUGCUAACCCCUGCACCGGCGGGGGAGGGUGGCUUAUAUAGAGUGCACUGCCCUCCACAACGAUUCCGGUACAGGGGUGGAGUAGUGGCGAUUGAAUGCGUACGUUACAGGUAACGUACGUCCUAAAUGCUAAUAAAUGCACCGGGAAACGUACGACCGUUUCCCUCCAGGGGGGUUACGAUGUUCCGAGUGGCAUCCAGUCGGUUAGUUGGAUGCUCUCCGAAUGCUAGUCUCCGACUGGAUGGUCGAGGACCUGUUACCGACUGGACGAUGGGGACUCCUUAAUUCAGUCGGAACUGACUAAGGGCCUUGUCCCUUAUGAGGGGUAGUCCUUGGGUAGGACUUACAGGGCAGGCCUAUGAACCUACCCUAGGACUAUAACCCCAUAAUUAGUCCCCGAAUGGAUUGGGGUUGGAACGACGAAGCGAUGCUUGAAGUUUGGAUCCGACUGGAACGGAUGUGACUUUGGCGUUUCUUGCCUCGAUCCAUUUUAUCUUCUCUGACCAACGAUCCGAGUGGAAAUCUUUGUGGAACAAACUGUCGGAAACCGAGUGCUUCCAGGGUAUCUCUUGACGCGACUAGUCAACUAACAGUAGCGGAUUUUCCGGGAUCCUCAAAUUUCGGUUUCCGCGCGCUCAGCGGGGAUGACGCCAGCGCGCUCAAGUAGCGCCUGACGCCUCGAUUCUCGCGCCUUCAACUUCUCCACUGAUAUCGCCGCGGUCAGUCGGGGGAUAAGGUUUCGGGGCCACCUGCCAGCGUCCCAGUCGGAACCUUACUUAAAUCCCAGCGGCAAGGGUUUUUCGUUAAGCCCGCCGGAUCUUUUGCCUUUGCUUCGUCCUCCUCGCCGCCUCCAGUGCACCUAACCUCUCCACUCCUCCUUCCCUUCCGCGGAUUCAUAGCUUCCGCCAUGACCAAGGGUCAGACCAGCAAGAUGGAGGCGAGGAAGAAGAAGGGGAAGGCGGCGGCUCCUGCUCAGCGGCGGCAGCGGCCGUUGCCGGCGGGGUGGAUCCAAGGCGACUUCCUCCCUUCCACGGUGACGGAGGGGGAUCUGCUGCAGCUGGUGGAGCACGGGAUGAUCGUGCACAAGUCUUGGAGGUUGCCAGCGGAGAAUGAGGUCGAGCCGGCGCCCCGGGAGGGGGAGCGCGUCCUGCUGCUCAGCCAUGUCUAUCGAGGUUUCUUUCUGCCCCCGCAUCCUUUCUUCAAGGGCAUUAUGAACCACUUCGGGGCACAACUUCACCACUUUCCUCCGAAUGCUAUUGCCCAUCUCUCUGCUUUCAUAGUUAUGUGCGAGUGCUUCAUCGGCUGCCCUCCCCAUUGGGGGUUGUUCAAACAUAUAUUCUCUACUAGAUCUCAAACAAUCAAACGACUCAGUCAGUCGGAUGAUAAAACGCAUCUUCUCCAACUCUGCGGAGGCUUAGGUUUCCAGAAAAAGAGUCAGAGUAGUUAUCCUGCUCUUCAGCUGAGUGAGUCAGUUAGGAACAGGCAGUCGACGUGGUUCUACUGCCAAGACGUUGACUGCCCGAAUGCCUCGACAGGGUUGCCUCCUUUUAGCUUAGAUCGUCCCGCUCCACCUAAGCAGCUCACGCUCACGAAGGCGGAGAAGAUCGACAUCCAGCCUCUGGUCGACGCACUCGUAGACGUCGUCAGAAGGGGAGUCACCGGCAUGGAUUUGCUGGAGACUUUCCUUGGUCGGCGCAUACAACCACUGCAGGCUCGUGACCACGCCAUGUGGCACUACACGGGGCCCGAAGACUCCACUCAGACCAACGUAUUGAGCGUGACCGAGGAGAAGGUGGCGUCGUGGGUGCUCCAGAUCACAGGCGCCUGUGAGAACCCCAGAGGGUCUCGACGAGUGAGGGCUUUCAGCACGGACAAUCCUCCUCCGAACCAGGUGAGUACCCUUUGUCGAGUGCACGUAUCUGUUUUAGUUCUAUCGCUUUCUUGAAUCUCUGCCUGUCGUUUGAUGUCGCCGACUGUAUUUCACGCAGAAGUGGACCAACUAGUUUUCUCAUGUCUCGAACGGGAACCCGGACGAGGAGGAGGAAGAAGGCAGCCAGGAGGGCAGUGUGGAGAGCGGCGAGUAUGUCUCUGAUAGUGGGGAGACGGAGGAGGAGUCUGGUGAAGAAGAGGAGGAUGACGAAGAGCAGGACUCGCCGCCUCCGCUGCCAGAGCACCGGACCAAGCACCGACACGAACCCGUGGUUCCCUCGGCCCCUCUGGCAUCCUCGAGUGCUCCCCCUGCUGAUCCCGUGGUUCCGAGUGCUCGGAGCACCAAGAGGGCCAGGGACGCUGCUGUCGAGUCCGUGGGUCAGCCUUCCAAGGUGGCCAAACCGAGUGGGUCUAAACCUCAGAAGGCUUUGCCGCGGAUAAGGGUCGUCGUUCCUAUCACCUCGACGUAAGUGCUCUGUUCCUCCAACCUCUUAUGAUAUUCGGUUGAACUCCUGUUUGAAGGUCGAAUGAAUUUCACUCGACAGGGCUGCCACCUCUGCCACCUCUCCCGCGCGCCAGGAGGAUGAUCCCAUGGACGUGGACAACGUCGUCUCGUCCCAGCCAGGUGCGUUGUAGUGACUCCGAGAGUGUUAUACUAUCGCGUCGCGAAUUCUAUCUUAAGUCUUGCCUCUAUCUUUUUCUGAGAUCUCGUGUCGUUCGGUCUAUCAGGGGCGAUUUGUGUGGACGAGGGCGACCAGGGGAGACCUGAGCAAGCCGCGGAGCCUGUUUUUGAGGCUGCCCUGCCAGUCGCUGCUCUCGCCGCAAACGUGCUGCCGACUGAGGCGAUGCCGUCGAUUGAAACGGCGUUGGUGGCUGAUGAACCUACUGGAGCGAGUCUUGGGAUGCCCCAGGAACUUCCAACGAUGCCAGGCUCGUCGAAUGUCGAGUUCAACAUCCAGCGUCUCCCGGAGGAGCAAGUGGGAGCGGCCAAGGGGGCCAUGGUGCAGGCGGAGCUAAUGGCGGGAGAAGCCAAGAAGGCAUACGACUCCAUCGCAUCCCUGUACCAACGGAGUUUGGAGCUGCGGGAAGAUAUCCGAGUAAGUGGGCUAGUAAGUAUUUACUUUUCUCUUGUAACCCACUGGGUGUUCUCGGAUAUCGGAUGAUGUUUGCAAUGGGUUCACUCUGAGUGAACCCAGUGGGUGUAGUCCCCGAGACUUCUGUCCAAUGCUUGCACCGGCAGUUGUCUUUAUACAUAUUGUCUUUGCCUUGGUCAGAUCUGGAAAUAAUAUGGUCGACUGCAAACAGUUGUGGCAGUCGGGGUGCACUUACUGUAAGAGUCCCCGAGAGUAAUUUUACUCAGGUCGGGUAGUAUUAGCCUCGUAGGCGUAGGUGGUAACAUGAAUCUCAAUAGGGCGGGCCUGCUUGAGUUGCAUGCCAGUGGGGUCACUCUCAGUGAACCCACUGGGUGUAGUCCCUGAGACCGCUGUCGACUGCUUGCGUCGGCAGGGGUCUGAAGAACUUAGACUUUUAUUGUUGAAUUGUCUGAUUGUCUCUUGGUGCUGGCUGGCAGAAAACUUGUGAAAUGGGGACAUCAUAUGAGACUCUGAGGGCGAAGAAGAUUCAGUUUGCUGGUGAGCGGGAUGCGGCACUGCUUGCAAUGGCUGGUAUGAAGGAGGUUCUGGCGGAACGAGAGAAGUCGUUGGAGCAGGCUCGUGAAGCGAACAAAGUGCUGACUGAGGAAGUUGAGAAGAUGGGGAAACAAAGGACUGCUCUGAUGGGACAAAUGGACGUGCUGAACAAACGGUGCAGAGCGCAGGAGAAAUACGUCAGUGACUGGGCUCGGCAGAUGAUGACGCGUCUGGCUGGUAAGUCCUACUUUUUCCGAGUGCUUGUGGUAUGUGCGUCACACUCGGCGCUUAUUGUUUGCUUGUCCUAUUGUUGCAGAUUUUUGCGCUGACGAUGAAGCUGAAGCAGCUGAUGUGGAGCGGUAGAUUCGUGAGAACGUUCCACUCGGCGAGGACGCCAAUUGAGAUCUGCUCGCAGCGCACAUUCGCGUGGGCAAAGUUGGUCCUUUCAUCGGUCGACUGAGAGAAGUCGUCGGCCGGAUCGACAAGGAGCUUUGGCCGGAAGAUGAGUCGCGGCAAGAGAUGGACAACUUGAUGAGUCGACUGGAGGAGGUCCCCAACCGAGUGCAGUCAUGGAAGAAAUCUGCGGCUCGUUGUGGUGCAGAUGUUGCUCUGUCCUUGGUCCGAGUGCAUUGCAAGGAGGUGCGCGAGGAGAAGCUGAAAGCGUUGAAGGUCGCCAACACGAAGAAACUUUGAUUCGAAGACUUCAUGGAAACCUUCCUUGAAAGUGCCACCCGCAUCGCCGACGGAAUCGACCUGGACACCUUCGUGGAGCCCUCCAGUCCUGGCGCCACUCCAGACGACGCGUAAGAAAACUUUAUCCUCGGUAUGCCGAGUGUUGAUUUGUAAGAAACUUUGGCCACUGCUGUUGGCCGUCACAUUCUUGUUUCGGUGUGGGUAAGCUUGAUCCACACCGAGACACUAUCUUUGUUUGAACUUUGAAUUGAACCUUUUGCUCUUCUGUUGCAAUUUUGACUCGAGUUUUUGUUUGGCGUUUCUUGGUGAAGCCAAAGGCAAACAUUCGGAACAUGUCAGUUGUCUUGACAUCUGCAUGAGUCUCAUUGAGGGUCCGUGGAAUUUCCGAUUGGAUCUGUAUUGUCACCGAGUGGAUCGGUAGGAUCGCCGCUAGGUUGUCGAGUGCGACUAUCAGGUCGCACUCGGGGCGAGUUGGUACUGAUGUAGUUGUCAGUUGUUUUGACAUCCACAUGAGUCUCAAUGAGGGUCUGCAACCCAUGUAGUUGUCAGUUGUUUUGACAUCCACAUGAGCCUCAAUGAGGGUCUGCAACUCAUGUAGUUGUCAGUUGUUUUGACAUCCACAUGAGCCUCAAUGAGGGUCUGUUGAGUUCCCGAGUGUACCUGUAGGAUACAGUCGAAGGCGUGUGGGUGCUUAGGCGAUUCUGCAUCGCAUCUAAGUCCCCGAGUGUGGCGUUAAGUGCACACUCGAAGAAAGUUAAUACUUAGGCAAUUCGUGAUCGCAGCUAAGUCCCAGAGUGUGACGUUAAGUGCACAGUCGGAGAAAGUUAAUACUUAGGCGAUUCGUGAUCGCAGUUAAGUCCCCGAGUGUGACGUUAAGUGCACAGUAGGAGAAAGUUAAUACUUAGGCGAUUCUGGAUCACAGCUAAGUCCCCGAGUGUGACGUUAAGUGCACACUCGGAGAAAGUUAAUACUUAGGCAAUUCUGGAUCACAGCUAAGUCCUCGAGUGUGACAUUAAGUGCACACUCGGAGAAAGUUAAUACUUAGGCGAUUCUGGAUCGCAACUAAGUCCCCGAGUGUGACGUUAAGUGCACACUCGGAGAAAGUUAAUACUUAGGCGAUUCUGGAUCGCAGCUAAGUCCCCGAGUGUAAUGUUAAGUGCACACUCGGAGAAAGUAAAUACUUAGGCGAUUCUGGAUCGCAGCUAAGUUUUUUUUUUGAGACCGGAGUCUGCGACCGCGGAAGAACUUUGAACCUGCAAAAAACUCAAUCUGCUUUAUAUUAUUUCACCAAUACUUGUUCUUUACAUUGCUUCAGUCGACGGUCACGUGUAGAAGCGCUUCAGGAGGUCUCCGUUCCAUGCUCGCGGCUCGUCUAUCUCCCUGUCGACGUUGUAGAGUUUGUAUGCUCCAUUGUUCAGCACCUUUGAAAUGAUGAAGGGUUCUUCCCAGGCAGGAGCCAACUUGUGAGGUCUUUGCUGAUCCACUCGGAGCACCAGGUCGCCUGCUUGGAACAUACGACUCCUGACGUGUCGCGCGUGAAAACGCCGCAGAUCUUGUUGAUAAAUGGUUGAGUGAGUCAGUGCCAUCUCGUGCUCCUCCUCCAGAAGGUCCACUCCGUCUUGCCUUGCUUGUUCUGCUUCAGCUUCGGAGAAGAGUUCGACUCGUGGAGCAUUGUGAAGUAAGUCACUCGGAAGGACUGCUUCUACUCCGUAGACGAGGAAGAACGGUGAUCGCCAUGUAGAUCUGUUUGGGGUUGUGCAAAGACCCCAAAGCACUGAAGGUAGCUCGGUGACCCAUGCGCCAGUGGCAUGUCCCACCUCUCGCAGGAGUCGGGGCUUCAAACCUUGCAGAAUAAGUCUGUUCUCCCGCUCUGCUUGUCCAUUAGACUGCGGAUGCGCCACGGAAGCAAAAUCCACUCGGAUACCUUGGCUUGUACAGAAACCUUUGAAUCUGUCCGAGUCAAAGUUUGUCCCGUUGUCCGUGAUUAUGCUGUGAGGUACACCGAAUCUGGAGAUGAUGUCCCUGACAAACUUGACGGCUGUUGAGGCGUCGAGCCUCUUGAUGGGAUUGGCUUCGAUCCAUUUCGUGAACUUGUCGACUGCCACCAACAGAUGUGUGUAUCCUCCUUGUCCUGUCCUAAAUGGACCGACUGUAUCUAAUCCCCACACCGCGAACGGCCAGACAAGAGGGAUUGUCUUCAUCGCAGAUGUUGGCUUGUGUGACUUGUUGGAGUAGAACUGACAACCCUCACAUCGGUCGACCAUAUCUUUAGCCAUCUCGUUUGCCUGCAGCCAGAAGAAACCAGCCCUGAAUGCCUUGGCGACGAUUGCUCUCGAAGAGGCGUGAUGGCCGCAGGUUCCUGAGUGAAUAUCUUCCAGGAUUAGUUGUCCCUCCUCUGGGGAGAUGCAUCGUUGAAGAACGCCUGAAACACUUUCCUUGUACAAUUGGCCAUCAAUGACAGUGAAUGACUUCGACCUGCGGACUAUCUGCCUGGCCUGGACUUCGUCUUCUGGUAGUUCCUGCCUCAGGAUAUAUGCAAUGAUCGGCACAGUCCAAUCGGGGAUGACAACAAGAAUCUCCAUGACCAGAUCAACCACAGCAGGUACAUCGACUUCAGUCGGAUCUGUUGAACUCUUUGGUUGUACUGGUUCCUCUGUAAAAGGAUCUUCUUUGACUGAGGGAAGGUGAAGGUGCUCGAGGCAAACGUCACUCGGGACUGGUCUCCGAGUGGAUCCGAGUUUUGCCAACUCAUCAGCUGCUUGGUUCUUCGGUCUAGGAACAUGGUGAAGUUCUAGACCUUCAAACUUCUUCUCAAGCUUCCUCACUGCAUUGCAGUAUGUGGUCAUGGUGGGGUUCCUGACGUCCCACUCUUUCAUCACUUGAUUGACCACCAAAUCCGAAUCGCCGUAGACCAUCAAGCGACGGACGCCGAGUGAGAUGGCCAUGCGCAAUCCGUAGAGGAGAGCUUCAUACUCUGCCUCGUUGUUGGAGGAAUCGAAGUGUAUCUGUAGCACGUACUUCAGUUUGUCGCCCUUUGGCAAUAUGAUCACAACGCCAGCGCCGGAGCCAUUCAACAUCUUGGACCCAUCGAAGAAAUUGUCCAAUGGGCCGAGUAGAUGUGGGUCGGUUGCUGUUGUUCUACCCAUUCUGCUAUGAAGUCAGCCAGAGCUUGAGACUUAAUAUCUUUCUUGGCCUCGAACUUGAUAUCGCAGUACAGCAUCUCCAUCGCCCACUUCGCCACUCGGCCUGACGCGUCUCGAUUGUGGAGAAUUUCCGACAACGGAGCAUCAGAAACGACAGACACCGAGUGGUCUUGGAAAUAAUGGGCCACCUUCUUCGCAGUCAUGUAGAUCCCGUAGAUAAGUUUUUGAUAGUGGGGAUACCUCUGCUUGGAAGGAGUCAGGACUUCGGAGACAUAGUACACUGGCCGCUGAACUUUGUAUGCUUUGCCUUCUUCUUCUCGUUCGACUGUAAGAACAGUACUGACGGCUUGAUUUGUAGCCGCGAUAUACAGAAGAAGGGGCUCUUUACUGAGCGGAGCAGUAAGAACCGACUGGGUGGAAAGUAGGACUUUGAGGUCGUCGAAUGCGACUUGGGCUUCGUCUGUCCACUCGAAAGUAUCUGAUUUCUUCAUGAGUCGGUACAAAGGAAGUGCUUUCUCGCCGAGUCGACUGAUGAACCUGCUCAAAGCCGCUAGGCAACCUGUGAGCCGUUGAACAUCGUGUAUUCUGACCGGCCUCUCCAUUUGGACGAUGGUCCCGAUCUUUUCGGGGUUGACAUCGAUCCCUCGUUCGGAAAUGAAGAAACCAAGUAACUUUCCGCUAGGAACGCCGAAUGAACAUUUGGCGGGGUUGAGCUUGAUAUCGUACCUACGAAGGUUGGCGAAUGUUUCUGCCAAGUCAGUUAGCAGGUCGGAACCUUUGCGUGACUUGACUACGAUAUCAUCCAUAUACGCCUCCACAUUCCGACCGAUCUGGUCGAGGAGACAUUUUUGGAUCAUGCGCAUAAAGGUAGCUCCUGCAUUCUUCAAACCGAAUGGCAUAGUGAUGUAGCAGAAGCACCCGAAUGGGGUGAUGAAGGUUGUUUUUAACUCAUCGGGACCAUACAGACGGAUCUGAUGAUAGCCCGAAUAGGCAUCAAGAAAUGACAGACGCUCGCAACCCGUAGUCGAAUCGACAAUUUGAUCUAUGCGGGGGAGCAGAAAAUGGUCUUUCGGGCAGACCUUAUUGAGAUGCUUGAAGUCGAUGCGCAUUCGGAGCGACUUAUCCUUCUUGGCCCCCAUGACAACAUUGGCGAGCCACUCGGAGUGGUGAACCUUGCGAAUGAAGUUGGCUGCCAGCAGCUUGGCUACCUUUUCCCCGAUUGCCUUCCUCUUGUGCGCGGCGGACCGGCGCAUGCGCUCUCGGACGGGCCGAGCGAUGGAAUCCACGUGCAGUCGGUGCUCAGCCAACUCCCUGGGUACACCUGGCAUGUCAGAGGGUUUCCAUGCGAAGAUGUCCCAGUUAUCACGGAGGAAUUGGGUGAGCUCGGCUUCCUAUUUAGGAUCGAGGGUGGUGGAGAUGUUCGUCGGGGCAACAGUGUCGUCCGUCGGGUGGAUGCUGACCUUCUUCGUCUCUCCCGCCGACUGGAAUGCAGACUCUGAAGCUGGCUUCUUCGAGCGCAUCAGGUCGGCGGAGUCGACUGUUUUCUUGUACUCGUCAAGCUCGAGGACGGCCAUCUGCUGGUCGGCGAUUCUUGAUCCCUGCUGCAAACACUCUUCGGCCCGCUGCCGAUUGCCUGUGAUAGUGAUCACACCCUUCGGGCCUGGCAUCUUCAGCUUCAGGUAUACGUAACAUGGACGGGCUAUGAAACGUGCAUAUGCUGGGCGGCCCAGAAUUGUGUGAUAAGCGCUCUGGAAGUCGACCACUUCGAACGUCAGUUUUUCCUUGCGGAAGUUCUUGUCGGAGCCGAAAACGACGUCCAAAGCGAUCUAGCCGAGUGACUUGGCCUUCCGUCCAGGGACGACUCCAUGGAACUGCAUGCUGCUCUCGCUGAGUUUGGACAUCGGGUUGCCCAUCCCCUUGAGUGUGUCGGCAUACAUGAUGUUCAAGCUGCUGCCGCCGUCCAUGAGGACUUUGCGCAGUCGGACUCCUUCCACCACCGGGUCAACGACCAGAGCCUGUCUCCCCGGGGCGGGUACAUGUGCCGGAUGAUCCGACUGGUCGAAGGUGAUCGCAGUCUGAGACCAUUUGAGGAACUUGGGGUUGGUAGGGGUGGCCAUGUUCACCUCUCUGUUCACCAGCUUCAGUCGACUCUUGCUCUCAAUGUCAGCAAAAAUCAUGAGAGUUGCAUGGACUUGGGGGAACGGAUCCUCCUUAUCCUCUUCAUCCUGUUCGUUGUCCUUUUCACUCGGUUGCCCUUCGCCGAACCCCUGGAUCAGGAGGUGACACUGUCGAGUGGUAUGCUUCGCAUAUAUGGGGUUGCCCUCUUCAUCCAUCUUCGUAUGAAUCGAACAUGGCUGGUCCAGGAUGGGGUUAUUGAACUGCUUCUUCUUGGGGGUGAACUGAGCCUUCCCUUUGCCCUUGAACUUGGCAUUGGUUACGGCUGCAACUUCUGCUUGCGGAGCGGUCGGAGCUUUCUGCUUCUACUUCCGAGCGUUGCCCCCAUCUCCAUCAGCGACUGUUUUGUGCUUGCCACUUCGGAUGCGGUCUUCCUCUUUGCCAUUUGCAUAGCGUGUUGCUAUCUCCAUCAUCUUGCUCAUGGAGAUGUCGCCUGUUCGGCCGAACUUCAGGUACAGAUCCCUGUACCGCACGCAUGCCUUGAAGGCGCAGACUGCUUGAUGCUCAGUGACGUUCUCCACCAUGUGGUAGAGAGUUGUCCAACACUGAAUGAAGUCUCGCAGGGGCUCAUUCUGCUUCUGGACGCAGUGCUGGAGCUCCACGAGGCCAGCAGGGCGCUUGCACGUCCCUUCGAAGGUCCUGAUGAACACUCGGGCCAGAUCUGCCCAGCUGUAGAUGCUUGAGGGGGCCAACUGGUUCAGCCAUGCUCGCGCCGAGCCGUCGAGCAUCAGAGGGAGGUGCUUCAUGGCGACAUGGUCGUCUCCUCCUCUGAUCUGGACUGCUACUCGGUAAUCAUCUAGCCACGUUUCUGGCUUGGACUCCCUUGUAAACUUGCUAAUUCCCGUCGCCAAUCGGAAGUUGGGAGGGAUGUCAGCCAAACGGAUGGCUCGACUGAAACACUCGGGACCAGAAACGAUGGUCCUGCUUCCACUCGGACGGUCAAUAUCGUGACCAUCGUAGUGGGCUCGGCCCCUGUCGACCCUCCGCUGGGCGAUAUGCCCUCUUGCGUCGGGCCUUGGGUCGUAAGUGUCACCGACUGAACGCCGAUCAUCAUGAUGUCGGGGUCCGUAGGGCCCACCCCGCGGAGGGGUGCGUGAACGGCGGCGAUCUUCGUGAUUUAUGGAACGGCUGCCUCCUCUGUGCCGCUGAUGGGAACCAGGGCUGUGAACCGACCGAUGCGUAUUCGCAUGAACAGAACUAUUAUGGAUCCUGUUAUGCGACUGGGAGACUGCCGAAUUUUGCUGCUGCGCCGUGUGCAACAGGGCUCGGAUCUGCUCGAUUCCCCUACCAGCCUAUGAAUCAGUCGGCUGGAGGGAAUCGGCUAUCUUGGCAGCCCCAGCCAAAUUGAGGAGGGGUGUGUGGAACAACUCCACGUUGCUCCGCUGAGUGUGUCGUCUGGCAGAACGGCGAGGCGGACGACACGCGCCGGACGUUUCGCCGAUCUCGUGCUCGUUCCGGCCAGCUUGACGGGGAUCUUCAUGGGAGUUGGCCAUGUGUACUUCUGCUGUAGGCCCGCGACCCGCGUACUCGGAAGGAAACUCAGUCGGAACCGAACCCGAGUGCUGGGACAGCGGGGCAACCACAACAGACUCUAGAAUCGCCACUUGUGAAGACGCGUUCUGGCGCGUCUGGGCGUGUUGCACCCAACGCUGAAGUCGCGGACGGCGGGACCGCUUGCUGCGGCGCGUGACGGCGGUGUAGGUCGACACCGGAGCCGACUGCUGGAGAAGAAGAAUGCCGCGGGCGCCGGCACGGAAGUGUGUAGCCCCACGACGGGGAAGCGCCUCGACGUCGAGAGGAGCAUCCCGAAGCCACGCCGAAUCGUCGACGAUGAAGGAGAGAGCGCCGAAGAAGAUCUGGUGACCCAUGCUCGAAUCUCCACCGGACGACAUGACGAAAGGAAGUAGUCGCAAACUCGCUGGAAGUCUCUUAGACGCCUGCCCCAUGGUGGGCGCCAACUGUCGUGGGUAUAAGCCUGACAGUAGAUGUGUAGGGUACGAAAAGGAUGGGCAGAGUCCCAGCUACGGCGAGGUUGUAUGAGUUCAGGCCCCUCUACGGUCGAGGUAAUAGCCCUACGUCUCAGUGCUCUGGGAGCUUGUUGUCGAGUGGAAUAUGGAAUACAAUGAUUUGCUAACCCCUGCACCAGUGGGGGAGGGUGGCUUAUAUAGAGUGUGCUGCCCUCCACAACGGUUCCGGUACAGGGGUGGAGUAGUGGCGAUUGAAUGCGUACGUUACAGGUAAUGUACGUCCUAAAUGCUAAUAAAUGCACCGGGAAACGUACGACCGUGUCCCUCCAGGGGGUUACGAUGUUCCGAGUGGCAUCCAGUCGGUUAGUUGGAUGCUCUCCGAAUGCUAGUCUCCGACUGGAUGGUCGAGGACCUGUUACCGACUGGACGAUGGGGACUCCUUAAUUCAGUUGGAACUGACUAAGGGCCUUGUCUCUUAUGAGGGGUAGUCCUUGGGUAGGACUUACAGGGCAGGCCUAUGACCCUACCCUAGGACUAUAACCCCAUCAACUCCAUUAAGAGGGUCCGAACCUGGGUAAAACACCGUCCCCAUUGUCUCAUGUUGCCCAUCGGCUCUAGAUCCAUAGUUCGGACCCCCUACUCGAGAUCAGCCGGUUUGGACACCGACAUUGGUGCUUUCAUUGAGAGCUCCACUGUGAGAUCACGAAAAGGCUUCAUGACUCGUUUGGUCAGCAACGAUUGCAUUGAAUCUGGAGAUGAAUGGCACCCAACGUCGGUGUUGCAUCCUCCUGAUGGUGGUUUGGCAAGUUCGUUGCGGUUCUGGAUGGGAUGACGAGAUGGUGGUGGCUAGAGGGAGAAGAUUGGUGUCGCUGCGGUUGUUGCAUCCUUCGUCGGGAGAUGAUUAGCCUACACGCGUUGCAUCCUCAAUGAGAUGAAUGGCCCAUUCUUGGUUGCAUCCCUCCUACGGGAGAAGAAUGGCACCGCUGCGGGUUGGAUCCUGAAAGUGCGUUAUAUCGACUAGAGGGGGGUGAAUAGGAGAUUUUUAGAAUUUCAUCACUGAGGAAAUUCCUCACUGAUGACUAACUUACAGCGGAAACAGUAAAGGAUCAGGAGUGCAAAGUUUUACAACAACAGUUUUUCAGUGUGAGGAAUGUGAAAACAGAUUGCACAGUGAGCAGGCACGCAGAAAACAGAUGAGGAUUAACUAGCGUGAAGAAUUUGGGGUUGAGGAAUUUCAGAGAAAGUCUUCAGCAAAUUCUUCAAACAGUGACAGUGAAAGUCAUCAACACAUAAUCUGAGGAAUGUAAGGAGAUGAGGAAUUAGAACCCGUUUCACAGCGAAGACGGUAGUUGAUGACCCAGUUCCAACUGCUGUGACAGUUGUACAUCUGGUUUGGAGCGGCUUGGUAUUGAAACCAAAAGACACACAGUCCCUACCGUAUUCUCCUUGGGCUAAGAACACAUAGUCCUCGCCCAACACUCGUGGUAAGUCUUCAGGGCAGACUUCCAAACCCUCACAAACUUGGUCACCCGGUGAUCCACAAUUGACUGCUGGAUUUCUCUAGACCAUGACGCCUAACCGUCUGGAGGACGCACAGUCCUCAAAGGUCAAAGGCUUUAGUCCCACACAGGAACAACUUCUUCAGUGAUGCUCAAUCACUUGGUUCUAGGUUUGUGGUUUGGUGUUUAGGGUAUUUCCUCACUGAUGAAUUACUCUCGAAGACUCUGAGGAAUUGGGUUUCUCUUAUGACAAGUGUCAGUUUCUAACGGAGCAGCCAACCAGCUAAUGGUUGUGGGGGGCGGCUAUUUAUAGCCUGGGAGCAUCCCGACAUGAUUUGACACUAAUGCCCUUAAAUAAUAUGACCGUUGGUGUGGAUAAGACCAAUGAUGUGGCGUGGCUAUCGAAACGGUCGGAACCCUCAACUGUGAGAGUUCUCAUGUCACUUGUAUUCCUCACUUGAGGCUUUUGGUAGGAUUAGGAUUGGGUUGAGCAUCAUGAGGAAAUUUAUUCCAAAGUGUAACUUCGACCCCUUUAACAGUACGGUGUUCCUAUUACUCAAGUGUGAAGAAAACAAAACUGAAAGAGUAAAUCUUCAUGCUUCUAAGUCUUCAGAAUGAUUUUCUUCAGGACACACCGAAUUCCUCAAUUUCAAUAUCUUCAUGAGGAAUAUCAAUUUCAUCGCAGAUUCUUCGCGAUUCAAUUCUUCAGCUUCAGACCAAUUUCUUCAACCGAAGAUAUACAUUUUUAGGGGUUGAUAUUCAUCAAAUAUUUCAAACUCCUCAGUGACUUACAGAUCCUGUGUACACUCAUGAACACAUUAGAUACUUAACCUAUAAGUCUUGAAACCACCAAAGUCACUAAGGGGCACUAGAUGCCUUACAGAUCCUCCAUCCAGUGGGGGAAGCAGAUGCAAGUUUGAAAGCACAUCUAGCUUGUCGUGGAGGUGUGGUCGUUCGUGUAGGCAGGGGUAGUGGUUUUGGUGUGUAGGCCAAUCGGGUCCUGGGUUCGGGCUAGGAAGGUGAGACUGUCAACAAAAGUCGUACUCUGGAUAUGGCCGGAAUCAUCAAUAACGGUACCUUUAGGCAUUGCUUCCUUGUUGGAGGCAUUGAUGUAGCUGCUCCUACCUUGCCUUCCCACCGUGCUCUGAGGGAAACCAUUGAUCUAGUUUAGAUCACACGAUGACGACCCUAUCCGGCGUCGCGUUCUCUCUUGGGGUCAUCAUCAUGGCGAUGGAUCCGGUUAGAGGGACAUGUGGCUCGCAAGGACGUGUUUGUUGUUAUGACUCACCCGUCUUAAUCGUACGCUAAUCAUACACACAAAUGCGUACGAUUAAUAUGAGUGACUCACAGAAAGAUAUCACAACACAACUCUAAACACAUAAUAAUAAUAAUUCAUGCUUUCUAUUACAAGUCAGGGCCCUUGAGGGCUCGAAUACAUAAGCUCGAGUACAUACAAGUCAACCUUAAGAAGACUAGCACAAACAUAAACAAACAAGUUCGCCUUAAGAAGACUAGCACAAACAUCAACAUGGAUCGAACAUGCAAGGCCUCCUGCGUGGGAGCCUCCCGACAUUUCAAGGAUCGAUAAAGCUUAACUACAAGGCGUGACAGAAAAAUUCUUAUAGCGCCAUUUCAUCCGGCGCUUCAAGGCAGCUACACGCUGCCAGCGUGACCAAUGACCAUGGACCGUGACCGGUCAAAGCCGCCUAAGAGGAAGGCGUGCGUACGUGUACGUUACUUGUCGGACGGUCAAGCAUGAAUGGAGGGGUCACGCGAUGAAAUAAGAUUUUUUUGGGGGGGGGGUCAGUGCAUGACAUAAGAUCCUCUAGGGUCCAUUUAGUAAAAAUAAUACGAGACGAGGGGGAGGCAAUGGUUGGACUGGUGGGGUAAACGAGUGGCGGCACACUGAUGGAAUGGGUAAACUAGGGUUAGGGUUUGACAAAUUUGGUAUGUGGAUGGACUAUAUAUAUAGGGAAAUUAGACUAGAUUUAGACCCUAUGAUUAUAUCAAACAGUCGGGAUAAAAUAGGCAGGGUAGUUCAAUUGACAAACAUAAAUUGUUUGGAUUAUUUCGGGGUUGAUCCAGACCCACUGGUCGCAGACGGGCGUUUUGAGGAAAUUAUCGGUCGCACGCGAGGGCUUAUGCAAUAUGCAGAGACACUAGCCAUGAGAAGAGAGGGAAUAUGGGAAGCCUAGCAACAAGAUUUGAAAUCGAACACAUCUGUGAUUUAAACCGGCUAUAGUGCCAGUGUAGUUUAACGUUUGGGGUAUCUUACGACCUCCGAAUGCGAUGAAAUUUGACAGACGAUUUACCUACAAUAUACCAAGACCGCACGACAACUUUCAACCCAUUCCGAGAACAAUUUACUCGCACUUAUAAAACAAUAUUCUAAUAAUGCCGCAGGCGCGUGCGAGUGUGUUUGGUCUCGAAACGGUCGACAAAGACAGUAUAAAGAAACGACAACUAUGAAUAUAUGCAUGUAUUGAAAAGAUGAUGGCAACAGAGUGUUGAUGCUAUGUAGACGAUGCGAAUGAUGCGAUGAUGAAUGCAACACACAAACAAAUAACGCGACGAUCAUGAGAAUAACUGGAAGGCAUUCAGAGCGUCGGUUUCAGGCUGUUACAAGACAUCUACACCUUCCACAAAAAAAUACCAUCACAACGUAAAUUGUUUCCCAUCAGUUUUCACUUCUCUAAGUCUUUGUAUCAACAUUCAACUAUCUCAUCAUUAUCUUGCUUCGUGAAACAAUUAUAUUUCCAAGAAAACUAUCAUCUUGCUCAAUAUAUAGCAUAUUAACCAUUUAAAAGUAAAAUUGUGAGAACUCUGUAUAAUAAUUGAUUGUGUGUGAUAAUUGACUAUGAAGUGCAUGAGCCCUUUUACUUUCCCGUCAUGUUUCAAGGGGCAAUCAUUUUAUAACAAAAGGCUUUCUCUUUUCAAUGUCAAGCUCUUUGGUAACAUUUUAGGCUACUUAUGGUUAUUGUUAAAAACAUGGAUUGAAUACUGUAGAAACACAAGCAUACUUUAGGAUUACCCAUGUAAAUCUGAAUGGAGCUAUCAUUUGGAAUUUCUUAAAAAAGAAUCUCUACCUAUGGAUUUCUUUGAACGAUAAAAAAAAUAGGUGACCAAGACUAAACGCCUACUCUUAUUUAAUUUCAUGGAGUAUCAAACUCAUAGCGCCCUCUGCCCUUCUUUUCUAAUGGUGAUAAUAGUGUCGUCUCUGCAAUCAUCGUUUGAGACUCUAAUACUUUGCCCUCGAUGCUGACGAGCUUCUCAACUUUUUUGAUUCAUCGUCAGGUAUGCCUACAAGGCAAAGCGGAUGGCUAAGCCAAUGCAAUGAAAGUAUUUAGUUCACGUCGAGUACCAUUGCAACCCUCGCCGCUGAACACACGACAUUUUCACCCCGUUUCCAUACUCACCCGAUCUUUCCCGCAUGUCUUCACUUUUCUUCGCGCUAUCCACGCGCCUUAGUCACCCUCAUUUUCUUGCUCACCUCGCCUUUCUCUCCCGUGCCUUCACCUUUCUUCCCGCCACUAACGUGCCUUUGUCAGGCAAGGUUUUCUUGUUUUUGUUGUUAGUAGUACUAGUAUACAUCUACUAUUUGCUAUGUGUACUUCCUCUGAUGCUAUUUAGUUUGCGCUUAAAUUUUUGAACAAAAUCCGCAAUAGUCCGCGUGCUGAGAUCUUUCGCCCAUUCUUUUCAACUAUAGCCCUCCUCUACUGCUCCGGCGAGUAACUCUCGCAUUAACUACGCCAACUCACACACCUUUCUUUAAACCAGAACAAGGAGAAAAAAAGGGACAACCAAUCAGUGGACACAAUGCAUGAGAUGGCUUGGGAAUCAGCUGCAUGCAACAUUUAUAGCGAUUGUGAUCUCCACGUGCAAUCCAUCCAAAUACAUGGACAAAGUAGUCCAAAACAUCACAACGGGAGCUUUUUUUGGUAUCCGUGUUUGCUUUUAGACGCAGACUAAAUAGGAUCGAAGGGAGUACUAGAAAAAAAUGUAAAUUAAAAUUACAGUUCAAAAUCGUGCAACAAAGACUAAAAAAGGUUCAAACUCAAAGGGAACAGCAGAACACUUUCCUCUCAAGUAUAUGAAGUAUUCAAAAAAUGCUAGACCUAAGUAGGAAUCCUACACGCACACAUGUUUCUCCACUAAUCAAAACUCCCCCCUGAUUUUCCUGAGACCAGGGGAGACACUCAGACACAUAAACCCGCUCAGACUACACAAACCCCCAAGAGCCCUGGGUAACGGAACCCCGCCGUAACACGCCCCAAACCCUUCUGUUCCCCCCAAAAUUCCGAUGGCGACGGCGGCGUCGGUGCCCGUCUCCACGGCGACGGUGCGAGUCUCCAAUAUCCCGGCCUCCGCCGUCGCUAAAGAGCUCCUACAGUUCUUCGAUUCCGCCGUCGCCGCUGCCGGCGGAGCCUACGCCUGCGAGAUUGCCGCCACCCGCCGCGGCUGGCUAAGCCGAGGCAAUGGGAGCGUCCAGUUCGAUUCCACCGCCACCGCAACUCUCGCCGGAGAACUCGCCUCCUCCGGUCGCCUACCCCGCUUCCUCGGCUCCCUCCUCUCCGUCUCCCCUGCCCCCGCGGACCUUCUCCCCCGCGCGCCCGACCUUUCUCUCCGCGUGGCCGACGCCCGCCUCGUUGUAGGCAACCGCGUCGCCGAGCGCGAAUUCGCGGCGGCUGACUCCUGGGACAGCGUCCGCGUGGAGAUCAUCCCGGGGAAGCGGCGCAUGGACGUGUACCUGAAUCACGAUUCUCAGAUGUUCAAGCUCGAGGUGUUCUUCGAGGACAUCAGGAACUGCUACCAGUGCAGCUUCGAUGGGGCCGGCGGCAUCUUGCUUCAGGUGAGCUGCUCACCGUGUUUUUUUUUUCCUUUUUGUCUUUUUGAACGUUGAAGACUCCAGGAGAGGCUCCUACAGUCAUAUAUUAGUCAAAAAAGGAUUUACAUAGUGUACAAGGGUGUGGUGGGGCUUUUGCCCCAAUCACAGAGUACUAGGGUUCAGAGGUAUAAGUGAUUACAGGGGAUUAAAGUAGUUUGGCUAGCCCUAGGCAAUCUCUGGCAAAUUCAGUAAUGGACCCUAGCAGCUCAGGUUUUGUCCUGUGUUGCAACAACAAGAAAUCUUCUCUGAAUCUUGACAACCAGGAUCUGUGGGAAGGCGUCACUCCUCUGAAGAUCAGGUUAUUCCUCUCCUUCCAGAUCGACCACACUGCUGUGGUGAACACUUCCAUGAACAUGGGUUUGGACCAAGUUUGUUUAGCCGCUGCCAUCCAUCCAAACCUAUCUCCUUCUGUUGCCCAGGUCGAUCCAACUGAAGUCCAGCACGUGUAGGAGAAACUGCAGGUUUAUGUAGAACAAAUGUUCCAGAGUUUCUUCUUGUUGGGUUUGGCAGAGCACACAGUAGUCCGUCCUGACCGUCGAUGAGCCCACUACAUAAUGUCUACGUUUGAGCAUGUUCUUGGUGUUUAAUCUGUCGGACAAGAGGAGCCAAGCAAAAACCCUUACCUUCACUGUACAACUCGACUGCCAAAUCCACCGAAAAACCUGAUCAGACGUGACAUUUUCAAAGCAUAACUUGUAAUAUCUGGACGAUGAAUAUUUGGGCCCCCAUGUGUAUGUCCAAACAUAUCUCUGCUCUAGGUCUAUCUGACACUCAGCGGUCACCAGCCGCAAAUCCCGCGCUUCUUGUGUUGCCUGUUGAGACAGAGGCAGAAAGAAGACCGCUUGUGCACUUUGCGCGCUUAGGAUUUCACGGACAGUCGCAUCUUCAAAUAUAGCAUAGGAGUGCGCUCUUGGGAAUUCUUCUUGGAAGAUUACAUCACACCAUUUAUCUUUCCAAAAUAGUGUGCUUGAGCCGUCCCCUAUUUUAACCGUGGAGAUUCCUCCGAAGAUAGGCGACAUCGACAUUACUUCUCUCCACCAGAAUGACCCGCAUGGCCCAGUGGCGUGCGGGAUUCUGUCCACAUAGUAUGUGUCCCAGAUCAUGGUCACCCAUGGCAGAUCGUGUCUAUUAUAGAGUUUGUCUAGAAACUUGAGUAAAAAAGGCUGUGUUUAAUGUUUCUGUAUCCAGCACACCGGGGGGGGGGGGCCACCCACCCACCCGGGUCUUUCGGCUUAGACACCAUCUUCCAUGAUGCCAGUGAGUUUGCUGUCUCCCCAUUCUCAUUCUUCCUUCUCCAAAGGCACAGUCUUCUGAUCUUGUCCAAGUGAGCAAGAAUUUUAGGUGGCAGGCGGAUGGAGCACAUCGCAUACACCGUGAUCGCAGUGAGCACAGAGUUUACCAAGGUCUGUUUGGAUCCAUAAGAGGCUAUGCAGAUUGUUGCAGACAGUCUUCUCUCUACAGUGUCAACCAGGGACAUAAGAUUGACAACUGUGGGUUUUGUGGUCCCCAUGGGCAGGCCCAGGUACGUGAACGGCAUCGAGCCUACUGUACAUCCAAAGAUCGCAGCAAAGCCGGCCGGCGACGCCGCGUCUAGGAUGAUCGGCACCAGAGUAGUCUUCUGGAAGUUUAUCCGAAGUCUAACUGAGUCAGCGUAAUGAAGCAGAAUUUUCUUCAUGCCUCUUGCUUGUUCUUCACAUGCCUGCAUCACAAUUAUCGUGUCAUCUGCAUAUUGCAUCGAGGGGAAGUCUUUGUGUGCGUUGGGGGGAUUGGGUGUUUGAUGACCCCUCCAUGGAGUGCAUCGUUGACAGCAGCUUGCAGCAGGUUGGCCGCGGGGACGAAGAUCAAGGGUGAUAGCGGGUCACCUUGUCGCACCCCCGGGCGGCAUCGAAACUGACGGCCCGGGACCCCAUUGAGCAGUACCAAGGAUUUCCCCGAACCAAAGAUGCAUUUGAUCCAUCCUAAUCAUUUCUCGUCAAAGCCCAUGUGUCUCAUGACCUCAAUCAUAGCCGGGUGUUCUAUAGUGUCGAAGGCCUUGGAAAAGUCCAGUUUCAGAAUAAACGCCCGAAAUCAUGAGGCUUGACAUUGGUACAUAUACUCGAACGCCCACGCCAAGCAGUCCUGUAUCAUUCUCCCUUUCAAAAAUCUGUAUUGGUUCCUGUGAAUGAUUUUUAGAAUCCAUUUUUGUAACCGAUCAGCAAGCAGUUUGGUUAUUAGCUUCAGACAACAGUUUAGCAGUGUGAUGGGGAAAAAAUCAUUUGCUGUCUGGGGCGAGUGAAUCUUCGGAAUGAGAGUGAUGAACCCAGUGUUUAUGCUUUCAAGAUUGAGUUCUCCAGCAUGAUUUGAUAAAGUGACCACUAAACCCACCCGGCCCUGGAGCUCUGUCGUCCGGCAUGGUUCGAAUCACCUCAUCAAUUUCCACCUCAGUUAAUGGGACAGAAAGUUCUUCUGGUCCAUCUAUCUUGGUAAUGAUAGAGCCUAGGUCAAAUUUCUGAUUUGGAGGCGAAGAUUCCCCCAAUCGUUCUUUAAACGCAUUGAACAGUAUCCCUUCCUUGCCUGCGUGGUUCUCAACUUCAGUGCCAUCGGGUAAUUUCAGCAUGGCAAUGGAGUUAUUUCAGUAUUGCUCCGUGGCCAUCUGGUGGGAAAAUUUCGUAUUUUCCUCUCCAAAACGAAUAACCCUGACAGUGCAUCUUUUUCUCCAGUGUUGCUUCUGAAAGUUCAGAAGCUGCAGUAGGUGAGCUUUUAGAAUUCGCCUGAAGUUCGAUUCUUGGGUUGUGAGUGUUCUCAGGUUUUCAAUCUCAUCCAGCUCGUUAACGGCCCAUUCAGUGUUUUGGAUCAGCACUUUGAGACGUGAGAGGCCUUUACUCCAGUUCUUAAGGGUGUACCUUAGUCUUUUCAUUUUCUGGCAAAUCCUGGCUGCACUAUUAUGCAAAUAACUUGGUUUGGACCAAGAAGUAUUCACCACAUCAAAGAAGCCUCUGUGCUGCACCCAGUAAGAUUCGAACCUGAAAAUUUUGCUCGCGGGGAGCGAUGAUUCGAACCUGAAGAUUGGUUGGCCAUGGCAGUAACCUUGGUAUUAAGAUAUACUGAAGUCCAAUUGUUAGAGGUGAAGAACCAGUCGAGCUGCUCCUUUGUACAUUAUAUUAGUCAGACGUUGCGGUCACAGGGUGAGGUAGAAAUUUCCAAUUGUUAGACGCAUUUGCCUGCUUUUAAUUCUUUCUAUAAUUCUGAAGUUGGUAAAAUAUAUAUCAUCUUGACUAAUGUUAAUUUAAUAUUUGUUUCAGCUCAUGUAUGCACCAAGAAUAUGCACAACAAUUUCUGGGCCUGCAGUUUAUUCAAGGUUCUCAGAUGAUCGCUUUCAUGCAUGCAAGGAGGAUGCGAAGUUUACCUGGGUCAGAGCAUUAGAUUUCACACCUAACCACUCUUUUGGGAAGUGUUCAACUCUUGCCCUCGUACUUGAUGAAGGUGCACCAGUGUCAUUUAUUCUCAACAGCUUACCCUUGUCAGGAGAAUUAGGGGAAUUGGUCAUUUCUUCAAUGGAUUUUUUUGGUUCGUCGUCCAAAGUCGUUCCCCUUGUUGACUGCCCAAGUGGUUGUUCAGUGUCAUAUGAAGUUCUUUUUCGUCUCAAUUCCCUUGUUCACAUGGGGAAGCUAGUUGCCAAACAUGUUAAUGCUGAUCUGUUUAAAGCCCUUGAGGAAAUACCAGUUCAUAUUUCAAGGAGGAUUUUCGAGAAAAUGAGCAAGUUGGAGUUUACAUGCUAUGAACCUUUGCAAUUCAUCCAGCAGGAGGCUCAUAGCAGGAAGAGGAGCCACGAUGCUUUGCUUUCCAGUAAGACUGAAGGUGAAGGCAAGCUAAUGAUGUGUUACAGAAUUCACAUUACUCCUUCCAAAAUAUACUGCUUGGGACCUGAGGAAGAAGUUUCAAAUUAUGUGGUUAAGCAUCACAAACAGUAUGCUUCUGACUUUGCUAGAGUUACUUUUGUCGACGAAGACUGGAGUAAGCUUUUUCCAGAUGCUAUCUCAGCUAGAACUGGACGAGGGUUCUUUUCUCAACCCUUGAAAACUGGCCUAUAUUAUCGUAUUUUAUCCAUCCUGAAAGAAGGAUUUUCCAUUGGUCCGAAGAAGUAUGAAUUCCUGGCCUUCUCAGCAAGUCAACUUCGUGGAAGUUCUGUUUGGAUGUUUGCUUCUAAUGAUUCCCUGAAGGCCGAGGAUAUAAGAAGGUGGAUGGGCAACUUUGAAGAAAUUCGUUCAGUAUCUAAGUGUGCGGCUAGAAUGGGCCAGCUGUUCAGCUCCUCCAGACAAACACUUGACAUCCUACCACGGGAUGUAGAAGAGAUUCCAGAUAUCGAAGUCACAACUGAUGGCACUAAAUACAUAUUUUCUGAUGGUAUCGGGAAGAUCUCUGAGAGAUUUGCUAAAGAAAUGGCUUGCCGAAUCGGAUUAGACUAUACUAACCCUCCUUCAGCUUUUCAAAUAAGGUAUGGUGGCUACAAAGGAGUUGUUGCUGUCGACCCUGAUUCCUUUCGUAAUCUUUCUCUGCGACCUAGUAUGAAGAAAUUCGAAUCAAAGAGCAGAAUGUUCAACAUUACAAGUACCAGCAAAUCCCAACCAUGCUAUAUGAAUCGUGAAAUCAUCUCUCUCCUUUCAACUUUGGGGAUAAGAGAUGAGAUAUUUGAGUUGAUGCAACAACAUGAUAUGCGUGAAUUAGAUGAAAUGCUGACCAACAGAGAAGCUGCUCUCUCUGUUCUGGGGAAAAUUGGUAGUGCAGAAACGAAGACAGCAUCGAAAAUUUUACUGCAAGGUUAUGAACCAAGUUUAGAGCCUUACCUGUUGAUGAUUCUUAAGGCCCAUCAGGAUAAUAGGCUGACUGACAUAAGAACUAGAUGUAAGAUCCAUGUUCCGAAAGGCCGUGUUCUUAUUGGUUGUUUGGAUGAAACAGGUGAAUUAGAAUAUGGUCAAGUGUACAUCAGAAUUACAAAGAACAGCAAAGAGCAGAAGGAUAAUUGUCAACCGUAUUUUUCUGAAGAUAAUGGGAAAGAUAAAACAGCAGUUGUUGUUGGAAAAGUUGCAGUAUCGAAAAACCCUUGUCUCCAUCCUGGUGACAUCAGAGUACUUGAAGCUGUCUAUGACCAUGGAUUGUACUCUAAGAACCUGGUUGAUUGUGUUGUCUUCCCCCAAAGAGGAGAAAGGUAAUACCGUAUGUUAUAGUUUAUAUUGCUAUGUCAAUGCCUUCAGAGGAGCUCAAAUCUCUAUUGAAGUGUUUGUCAGCGUGUUCGUUUCUAUGUUAGAUUGAUAUCCAGUCAUGUUACAUACUUAAAUCUUUACCUAUUGAUGGAUGUUGCCAAUGCUUGCUUUCUCCUUCAAUUAAUCUUUGAUGUUUAAUAGGCCUCGUCCAUAUAGACUUUAAUCUUUUGAUGUUAAUCAGGCCUCAUCCUAAUGAAUGCUCCGGGGGCGAUUUGGACGGUGACCUCUAUUUUAUCACUUGGGAUGAGAAACUGAUUCCGGAGAAGGUUGAUUCACCUAUGGACUACACUGCAGCAAGGCCACGCAUAAUGGAUCAUGUUGUUACACUUGAGGUAUAUUCCUUAUUGUUUAUUCAUUUAAAUUUCUCUUCCUAGGUUGUUGCUGCUAAUUUUUACCGAAGAUUGUUUUAUUUGACUAAUAUCAAUUUUUAUCCUUGCAAUUGCACAUAUAAUCAAAAUAUCAGUUUUUUACAAUCUGUAGCAUUUCAAUAAUACUUGAAGAAAAUGUGCGCUUCGCCGCACCGUUUCCAUUGUCAUGCCAUGUUUCCUGUUAUAAAUCAUCAAAGAAGGAAUUCUUUAAAUAAAACUUCUGAUGCAAACAAAUCACAGGCUAACAUAAUUCAUUUUGGACAACUUCUUUCUAUUGCUUGCCUAUUGGUUAAUGGGCUCCCAGAGAACCUGACAAGAUAUAUCAGCUAGGUUUUGAAGUUGACAAAAUGGGAAGGAAAAACUGCGGUGUAGGACCUAGUAGACUGAACCACAAAGCUGGCCUCCUGGAAGUAUUGAUUAGAAUAAAGAUGAUCUUGAAUAAGAUAGCCACUAAAGAAACCAAUUAACCAAAACAUGCAAACAAGUUUGCGACCUGAACCAAUUGAGCUUCAGUGAGACGAGUGGAACCAAUGGCAUUGGCAACCUCCUGAUAAAUUCUAGUGUCAAGGCAGAUCAUCAUUCACUGUAUUAGUAGGAAGUUAUCCAAAGUUACCUUUAGUAUCUGAGCGUAUAAUAAUAUAAAAAUUCAGAAGUGACACAAAACCAUCAAAUAAACUUACAUCUUCAAGCAAGCUUGAUUCCUCGAGAGCAUUUAUCAAAGCAUAAUCACGCAAUUCAUGAAAUAUCAUUCUUUCAAAACCAAAAGGACAGUGGCUAUGUCUUGCACAGUGCACAUACUUUCAGACACACAAAUGGAAGUAUAUAAAUAAAAGAAAGGUCGUUCCAGAGAGUAGAGAUUUUAUUAUCUCCAAUCAUAUAAACUUUUGAGACAAAUCCUCCGCAUGUCAGAGAAGGCACAUACAGAAAUGAAAAGUGUGUUUUUCGUAUCAACCUGCAAUUUUUUUUUAAUAUGCAUCUCACAGUAGACUGCUUGCGUAUGCACAACUCACCAUUGUAAUGGAAGGUGUUGAUUACAAAUUUAAAGUAUAAACACCCAACCAAACUGCUGCCCUGUGGAGCACUGGGACGCAGAAGUGUCACACCGAUGUGUCAGCUUCCAGUCACACAAUGGCAGCAGCAAAGUGUAAGAUACCAUUUUUGUGUUAAUUGUGUGAUUAGCGCUGACGUUGAUAUUUGUUGCAUGUUAAACAUGUUGAGCGCUCAUCAUUGGAGCAAUUUGGGUCGUUGGAUUGACCUUAUUUGAUGGCUGAGAUUAAUUGGAUCUGCCCCUUAGGGUCUUUUUAUAUUGGUAUAGAUAUAGAUAAAGCUCUUCACAUCCCCUUGUUAAAAAGAUUAAAAUAAUGUCUAUGAAAACAUCAGUUAUAAUCAUCACAAGGACUGUAAACCGACGGAAGAGAAUACAAAUAUGACCACAUUUAUUCUGACCUACAAAAGAGAACUAACAUGCAGUAUCCACCAGAAAUAUGUCUCAUCUACCCAUAUUACAGCAAUUUGAUCAAGUAAUUCUUAGCAAUUGACAUUUAUGUUUGUGAAACAAUAAAAACAGGGAAUGAAUUAUGAAUGCGACAUCAACACUAUAGCUUUGAUUUGUAGGGUGCACCCGUUGAGAGCAAUAAAUAGAGGAGAUGAUGUUUACCAAUCAGUGGCAAGUUGCAAUGCAUGUCAGCCGAUUUUUUUGAUGUGAAACCUAUAUUCCUAACUCCAGUGCUUUUCUUUCCAAACCUGAAACAAUUAGCAUGAUAGUUCCAAUACUAAGCAAGUACCUUAUUGUUCAUCUAUUUGCAUACUGAUAAGAGAUAAGAAGGCUUCACAUCUUUUAUUUUCUCUCUUUCUUUCCAUGUUUCUCUCUUUCUUGUCCCAGUGGUCUAGUUUUUGACUGAUCUAUAACUUUGUUAGGUCUGAUGAAAAGUUAUUUUGUUAAACAACAACAUGACCACUUGCCAAAUCCAGGACGUUAUCAAUAAGCAAUAACGCCAGACUGAGCUGUGCUCUUUCCAAAUUUGGUGAAAAGUGCAUCCUAUCUUCCAAUUCUUUGUAGCCUGACAAAUAUUCUAAGCGGUCACCGCUGAAAAUUUUGUGAUAAUAUUAGCCUAUUUUGAAAUUGCGUAACUGAACACAUCAAAAACUUAUAAGGCAAGUGACCUGAAAACUCCAACACUAAGUCUGGCUGACCACUCCUUUCCUGCUUCUCUGUUUUCUCUAUCCCUGCGUGCUAAGUGCCUCAGGCUGAUUCGCUGCAGCAUUUGAGCCCGAGCUAGAGUCCAUCUUCCACUGAUUACCCCCAAUAAAUCGAAUGACCAAAGGCCCAUCAGCGGCCACAUGCAGACGCGCCAACAAACCUAUAUGUAACUCCAUUAAGAGCUAUAUAGCAAACCAUCAGAUAAAGGAUAGGAACUUCACCUUCAGGGAUGAACAACUGAUGUCAACGCGAAUGAGGUGACCACACUACCAAGUGGUUCCUGUGGUUGUCGAUGUGGUGGCCGGUUGGAGCAGCACCGCCCCUCGGAGCCACCACACACAAUCAAUCCAGCGAAGCCACAAAGCUGCCCACUGCCUUUUCUCCUCCCCACGCUGCCCAUGAAGAGGCGAAAAAGAGGCAUGUUUCCCCCAAACGCAGCGAUCCAGGGCACCUAGUCAAAGUGGUUUAGAUUGCGUCAACACCAGCUGACCAGUGGGACUAGAAACAUAAAAAAACAGAUCACUGAGGGUGUUCUAUUUCCUGGGAGCUUAGUAACUUUAGAGAAGUGGUCGGACCCUUCCCUUCCCCGGACCCUGCGCAAGCGGGAGCUACAUGCACCGAUCUGCCCUUUUAGUAACUUUAGAGAUUUAUUAUGUUGAGGCACCUGCACCUCACAUCUUUCUAAACAUUUCUUUGGCAGAAACUGGGUACAUGCCUAACAUGGUAAGUGCACAACAGCCAGAGAGAACUGGCUACGAGCAUCAAACUCAGCCAGGAUGGAAUGACAGCCAACACAAAAAUUUCAGUGCUUUGAACCAAAUAUAUGCUAGCCAUGCACAAUUAAUAACAUUCUGUAGAAAUGUGGCUACUUAUUUCAGAAAAAGGUCAUCUUUUGCCAUCCUCUAAUGAAAACAGUUGUGCAUGAUUGAGUUUCAAAGUGGUCUUGGCUUUAAAAUGUAGUUUCCUCGACAAGCAAUUGUAUUUUUCUCACCUGACAUGUUUAUACCUGUAAUCUUACGAAAACAUCUGAUGAACUGCAGGAAAUUCAGAAGUACUUUGUGGAUUACAUGAUAAAUGACUCGCUCGGUGCAAUCUCAACUGCUCACUUGGUCCAUGCGGAUCGUCACCCAAUGAAAGCCCGGAGCCCUGAGUGCCUCCAGCUAGCUGCUUUGCAUUCGAUGGCGGUCGACUUUGCCAAAUCAGGAGCUCCAGCUGAAAUGCCCCGGUCACUGAGACCAAAGGAGUACCCCGACUUCAUGGAACGGUGGGACAAACCAACGUACAUCUCCAACGGACCUCUCGGCAAGCUGUACCGAGCGGCUGCGAGCCGUAUGCAGAGUGCUCCUGCCCCCUCGUCCUCGGCUCAACCGAUCCCCGCGUUCGAUCCUGACCUAGAGGUCCCUGGCUUUGAGGAGUUCCUGGUAUCCGCGGAGGAGUGCUACGAUCUGUACGCGGAGAAGCUGAGCACCCUGAUGAGCUACUACGGCACGGAGCAUGAGGACGAGAUACUGACGGGCAACAUCCGGAACAGGCUCCUGUACCUGAAGAAGGACAACAAGAGGUACUUUGAGAUGAAGGACCGCAUCAUCGACUCGGUGGAGGGCCUGCACAAGGAGGUACGGGGCUGGUUCACGAGCCGCCCGAAGGCGGAGGCGGCGAGGAGGGCCUCGGCGUGGUACCACAUGGCCUAUCACCCGGACCACCACCAGCCGGGAAAGAGGCGGUUCUGGAGCUUCCCGUGGAUCAUCUGCGACGAGCUGCUGACGAUCAAGGAGUCCAGUAGGCGGCACCGGCAGCAGGUGGACGGUGCGGCGGCGUGACUCAUCGUCCGGCCAAGUAAUUAAGUGGGAGUUGGCAAGAAGAUGUAAUAAUAAGUUGUAACCGCACAGUGUGUCACAGGCAAGCCCGUCUGGUGAUUGCGCCGCUGCUAUGAGUUUGUAUGUAGUGUAAAACUCUGGGGCAUGACUGCAGUGCAGACCAUUGUGAGCUGAGCGGCAGAGCUGUGCCUGCCUUGCUCGUGUGGACGGACAGAUUUGCUGGAUGUGUGUGACUGGAAAUGAACCGUGCUUGGUCGGGCUUUGCGGGAGGUCAAUCAUGCUCCGUCACUGUCUCAUCAUAGCUUGAGCUUUGUGUGCAAUUCUGUUCUGUUGUGGUGCCUAUACCUUUGGUGCCGUUUAACAAAUAAAUAAAUAGAACCAGUGACAUGUUUAGACAUAAACUGUUGAGCUAUUCUACAUUAUGGAACGAUGGCUUUCAGAUGUUUCAACAGUAUUUUUUUCUUUUCUUUCUAGAAGCUGCCGGUGAGUUGGUGCUAGUGCAGGAUUAGCUAAGCCGUUACGUAAGGGGCAGCGUAGCCCCCACAUUGGACUAUACUACCUUUGGAACACACCAGUCCAUGGUAAUACAUGCAUCAAUCACUUGACCCGGGCUCACAGAGGUAAGGUGUGCCUGCAUUUUGCGCGUUCAUUUUCUUGAAUACGCACGAAUGUGCAUAUUCAAAACUAAAUACAGUAAAUCAUUUGACCCGUGCUCACGCUAUUCCGCAGAUGCUUUAGCCGGCUCAAACGCAAACAGCACCCGACCAUUCACCGUUGCUUGGGCGGUGACCGCGGCGAACAAAGUGAACCGAGCAGGCGCAGCACGCCACACCAGAGCGAAGCCAACAGCACAACCCAGCUGCAGAGCUGCCAGUCCAAACCGGCAACCGCAGUCCAAGCCGCCGCCGCCGUCUCCAACCUGACCGAACUCCCACCACGCCCGCAACCACCUUCAUUCCCUGACCCGCCCGCCACCGCGGCGGCUGCCCUGCCCUGACUCGACGCACCGCGAUGCCGGGACCGGGGGCGCACCUGCUGUACGNN